UGGAACGCAUGAACAACAUACAAUAUUAAAUGGAUCUAGCAAUUCAACCCCACCAUAUGGUCCAACUACUAUAAACCAAACAUAUUCAAUUCUCCAAUACAAACAAGGUCCUAAAAGUAAUCGUUCUAACCACUAUAAACAAAAUAGAAAACAUAUUCAAUUCUCCAGUAGGACCACUUUUAAACCCUUACCCUUUAAUAAAUCCCUAUUUUACCAACCCAACAACAUUCAUUGAUUGAACAAUCAUCCAACAAUAAAUAUUCAUAUAGGACAAUCAAUAUUCAUAUAGAACAAACCAAAAAACAUUAAUUGAAAUCCUAAAAAUCUAAGGUCCACUAUCGAAAUAACAAAGUCCAUAAACUUCCAAACCCUAAACCAUAACAACCCUAAGCUCGAAGCUUCCAAACCCUAAAUCUAUAAACCAAACAACCCAAAAUCAAUAGAAUCAAAUAAAAUCGAAAACCCCAACUCACCAUAAUUGGGAAUUUCUGGCCAGACUCCUUCGCCACCUUCGAUUCGGGGUAUCCAUUCAUCAAUCGGAGGCGUAGCCAUGCUUUUUCGCGACCUAUGAUGGGUGGUUUAGGGUUCUAUGAGGGACGACAUAGUUUCUGGGUUUCGCUCUCUUUUUUUAGAACGAGUGAGAGCGACAGCGACUGAGAGAGAGUGACUGAGAGAGAGCAAACGAGAGAGAGAGAGAGAGAGAGAGAGAGAGAGAGAGAGAGAGAGAGAGAGAGAGAGAGAGAGUGNNNNNNNNNNNNNNNNNNNNNNNNNNNNNNNNNNNNNNNNNNNNNNNNNNNNNNNNNNNNNNNNNNNNNNNNNNNNNNNNNNNNNNNNNNNNNNNNNNNNNNNNNNNNNNNNNNNNNNNNNNNNNNNNNNNNNNNNNNNNNNNNNNNNNNNNNNNNNNNNNNNNNNNNNNNNNNNNNNNNNNNNNNNNNNNNNNNNNNNNNNNNNNNNNNNNNNNNNNNNNNNNNNNNNNNNNNNNNNNNNNNNNNNNNNNNNNNNNNNNNNNNNNNNNNNNNNNNNNNNNNNNNNNNNNNNNNNNNNNNNNNNNNNNNNNNNNNNNNNNNNNNNNNNNNNNNNNNNNNNNNNNNNNNNNNNNNNNNNNNNNUCUCUCCCCUUUUCUCUUCUCUCCUGCUCCCCGAGUUCUCCCGCUGCCGGAUUUUCCGGCCGUCCAUCCGCCGUUGUCCGGCCACCGUAGCCCACCGUACUGGUCCCGUCGGUUGGCCUUCAAUCCAGCUACCUCCCUGGACCGGUGGCAGCCCCUCUAGCGUUGCCGUGAGGGAGUUAUCUCCCCCGAAAGCCCUAGCUGCCGUGGUGGUUUCCUCGCCGGAGCUCUCUCCUCCGGCCGCCAUAGUCGGCGAUUCUUGGCUCGUUUUGAAGCUCUCCUCCCGUGCAUCAAUCCCUCUAAAGGGCUCACCCUCUCUUGGUCUAGGUAAGGAGAGAAGUUUUAGGGCUAUUUUUGAUGUUUUCGUUCGAUUGGCCUAGUUAGGCUUGGAAUUGGUGUUUGUGCUAGUUAGAAAAGUUGUAGAGGGAGUUGAGAGGAAGAUGCUAUCAAAAUUUCAUAGGCAUUGGAGGUCGCCGGAGCCGGUAGAGCUAGCGCCGCCGCUGUUUGGAAGGUUUUUAUGGUUUUAAAUGUGGAAUAUUAAGGGGAGUUUAUUGAUGUGAAUUAUGGAAUUUUUGGAGGAGUUUUGGACGGGUUUGUGAUUUUCCGAAGUUUGGUAUUUUUUGCGGUUAAUUAAUGUAGAAUCCGGCCGUAGGAUUUAAAUCGUUGUUCUGGGGAGGUUGUAUUUACGGCUGCUGUUUAUGGUAUUAAAGUUUGGAUCGUUUUGAUUUAGGAAUAUUGAAGUUAGGCGAGAAUGAGCUUACGUGGUUACGGCUCAUGUUUAAUUUGCCUAUUUUUGAGUAAGUAAUGGAUUUUUGGUUGGUAAUUUUAAUUAUUAUAUUUGGAACAUGACGUGAGGAGGCUCAAGCAGAAAAGACCUCAGAUUGACGUCAGGCUUAGGCCUAAAGUUGUGAGUGGACUUUUGUUUUAAAUAAUAUGCAUGCUAUGGUUCAUGGAUGAACAAUUAAUGUUGUUGGAGCAUUUUGACGUCAUUUUAAUUUUUGACGAUUUCAUUUCUCUUGGAAUAUUACCGAAAAAUGGGAUUUUUCAGUGAGUAUAAAUAUGUAUAUUGAAGAGAGUAUGUGUAUAAAUGUGAGCUAGCUAUAUGUGUCUGUCCAUCUUAAUGGCAUAGCAUAUAGCCGUAUUAUGGUGUGACGUGAGCGUUGGACGCGAGUGUAGUAGCCCUAUAUGAGUGUUUAAUUCAUAUAGGGGGUAUGGGCACAUAUUUAUACAUUCGUCUGUCCACCUUAAUGGCGUAGUGUAGCACCGCAUUAAAGCGUGACGUGAGCGUUGGACGCGAGCGUAAUAGCCCUAUAUAGACCCAUGAAUUUAUAUAGGGAGUAUGGACGUGUGUAAACACAUACAUAUAUUAUAGAGCUUGAGAGGCUCGAUAUUUUUAUGAGAUAAAAGUUUUAUCGCUUGAGCAUGCAUUCGAUUUUUUCCUUGGAAAUUGAUUUGGGGAAACAUAAAUAUUUUAUUUAUUAAUUUAUUUUUGUCUACUCACUCUAACGUGUUUCAAAUGUUUUCCCCUGGGCCCUUCGUUUUAAAAUCCCCAGUUUACAGGAUUGCAUAGUUGAGGUCGGGCGUACAUGGAGAUGAGGCAUAGUCAUCAUAUAGAUUCCGCUUGUUCAUUUAUUAUGUUUCCUUUCUUCCUAUUAGAAUUGCUCUGAACCUAUAAAUGGUUGGAUAUGAGAUUUGUUUAGAUUAGUAAAUAAUUUGGGUGGUGUUGUGAUUUGGGGAGCACGAAGGCUCCAGGAGUUUAUGGCUAGAUUUAGUUUUUCCAAAGUGUUUGCAGGUAUUAUUAGGAAGGGUUGUCCAUUUUUCAAAGGAGGUUAUGUCGAAUUUUCGGUAAACUUUCCUUGGAGGUGGUCCCCGCAGGAUUUACUUCGGGUUUCAGGGUGAAAUUCGGGGUGGGUCUUGAGAGUUGGUAUCAGAGCACUAGGUUAUUCGAUUCCUUUCUCUUUUUAGUACUACCUCAUAUUCUUGGUCAUGCUUAGUGUCUAUAGAGUGAUGGUCCGACCGUGGCGGAUCUAUUAGCAUUAUAUGCUUUAGACACUAUGUGUUGAUUAGGUUUUUGACGUAGUUGUUCCUAUUUUAUUUAUGGACAAUACUGGUUUGUGACGUAGUUGUUCCUAUUUUAUUUAUGGACAGUAUUGUCCAUAAAUGUCUAUAUCUUCAAGACUAUGCCUCCGUACGCCGACCUCUUAAGUGAUCAUCCUGCUUUGAUUGGGGAAAGAGGUGUUUGGUUUAUGCCUUUUCCAAGGGUAUCAAGUUGAUAUCAUAAAUUGUUAGAGUUCAAUUGCGAGAUGAGAACUCAUAUGCGUGGCAGCAUUCCUUUCAUGUGAUCAAUGAUUGUUUGGGUUAUGAUUAAGAUGCUAGGGUGAGCAUCUCAUGCGAAUGUGUAGAUGGUGAAAAGUUUAAUUUAAGCCUUGGAGUUCAUUAAUUAUAGUGGGCAAGUGUAAAGUUGUUGUAGUCCGAUAGAAAAAUCUUGCCUUCGAGUUAUGUGACUUCUGGGAGAAAAUAGUUGGAAAGAAAGUUCGAGGUAGUGGUGUUUUCUUUUGAUGUUAAAGUUAGUUGAAGUGCUUUGGUGGGUACCUAUAGUAACUCUUAGAGGUACUUUUAUGAGUUGUUGCAAACCCUAAGCUUGAGCGAUUUAGUCACGUGGGAUUUGUGGCUAGUGAUUGGGUGGUAAGGCAUUGCUACAUAAAAAGUUAAAUGUCAAUUUAGAUAUGUCAUGAGUUAAAGCCAAUUUGCCGAUUAUUUUUAUCCACAACAGAAAGCAGUUGGGAACAAUUUGGGAUAAUGCUGGUUAUGCCAGCACAUAUCCUGGUUCCUACAACUUUAAUUAUGGAUGUGUUUUUAUCCUUAGAGCAUUUUACCAAGAUGGUAGUGGAAGUAUAUUUUUGAAAAUGACAGAUAAUAGUAGUCGAUGAAUAACAAGAUUUCUGAUGAGUUGAGUCUCUAAUGUGGGUUAGCUGAAGUCGGUUAAAGCACUACGUAGAAUGACUUGGAUUGUUGGUUUUACAAAAGUCAUUGGUCAGUGCGUUCUGACAACUUCUUGUUGUGCCACAGUCAGGAAAUUUUAGGAAUUGAAUGGUGGCACUAAAUGUUUGAGUUUCAAGCAAGUUUGGAAUCAUGGAGUGAGAUGUCAGUUAUGUUAUUUUUAAUUGUGGGGCCAUUAUGGAUUCUUUCGGAAUUCUAGGUGUUGAAGUUUGGUUUCUAGUUUUGUUGAGUGUUUUGGGAAGAUGAUAAAUUUAGAUGGAAUUGAAAAGUAAUGGUGGAGUGAGAGCGGGAUGGUUGUGGUCACUCCAGUUUUAUGACAACACCUGGUGAAUUUAUUACGUGUUGUCAUAGGUAUUCUAUAGCAGUUGUGUGGAGUUGGUAGAAGUGAUAGCAGUGGAAUAAAACCCACUGGAUCAUAGAGCAAGAGUGCGUGGGUGUCCAAAGUAAUUUUUAAGCAGUGUCGUUCCGGGUGGUUGAUGUAAGUCUCAAAUUUGUGAUCGAAGUUGGUUUUUGACAUCAUUUCGUUCGCAAUGGGUGACUAACUACGACACAACAAUGGGAUGAUCUGUUCUCACCUUAUUUCUAAUUCGGUGAGAUGGAGUAAAGUUUUGGUUGUGGUGUGUGUCGGAAUAUUUAAAUUAUUCCUACUGUAGUUUUUGGGUAGCAUCCACAGAGCUUAAAUUUAUGGAAUGCGAAUUCAACACUUCGAUUUGAAGGGUAGAGAUUCUGGUUAUUUUGUCAAAGUUUCGAGAUAAAUAAUAAAUUGGUAGUUGUGUCGUAGUCAUGGAUCCGGAAUAAUCCAGAGGUGAUCCCAAGUGAGCUGGAGUUCAUUUAAGCGAUGAGUCUUGGUGCCGUAAAUCCUAUGUGGUAGUUUGAGAGUUGCAUGGUGAUGUUGAUUUGAUGGUUUGUGUAAUUGUAGGUAUUUUUCAUGAUGUAGCAUUUGGGAGAGGGUUUUCCUUUGUUGACUCAAGAAGCGUCUAGAGUCAAGGUUUAUUAAGAGUUUUAUUAUUGAGGGUAGUAGAUAUUGAUAAGUUGUGCGAUGUCUUUCUAGGGAUCAGAUCGUGGUAGAACCACUUGUUGAUCCAGGUAUGACCUGGGAGGUUAUUAAUGUUUAGUUGGGUUUUCCAUCGUAUGUCAGAGAAUUGUGAAGCUUUUGAGCUCGGAGUUAUAGAAUUUGUCCUCAAGUUCUAUAAGCUAGUUAUUCUGAAGCUUGAGCGGAGGUUUGCCCUGAUUUUUGACUUUUGCUUAAACUCAUGAUUUUCGUUGGUUAGCGAACCACAAAGUGUAGUAGUGGGCCUGUUAUGGAAAUUAAUUUUAUAUUCGAUGGUUAACUUGUUGCUGCAAGCUCAGUUAUCGGAGAAUCUUUUUGGUGGGAAGCCGUGGCGCCUGGGAAGUGUAGGAGACUUGAGCAUAUCUGAUCGUUUUCUGCUAUCUGAUUAAUUGCAUGUUAUUAGAGGUAGAAAAAGAAGUGUGUUUGUUGGGUCCAAAGGUUUUGGCAUUUUGGAUCAUUCUUGUGGAAUGGCUAGAGUGAGCCGUGUCAUUUUAAUUGUUGCUUUUGGGGUCGCGGUUGCACCCGAAUAAGUAGCAUGGCUGAAGAUGUAAAUUUUGUCAAUGCUUAAGGAAGGUGUUCUAUUUAUGUGGAUUUCAACGUAAAGUUUAGCAUCAUGAAUUGACUGUGCCAAUUUUUCGUGGGCAUCAUUAGUCAGUUUUGUUUAUGGCGAGCAAGGCGGAAGAUCCAGUUUCCACAUGAUAGUCAUGUUUCAGAUUAUCUUCUGGUUUGUGGUAAAGAGAUUAGUGGAGAUAGCAGAAUCAUGAGAGAGUUGGAAGUCCCAUAAGUUUCCAGUUUGUGGUGCUCAAAAUGGUAAUGUAAUAGUUUUGGUGGAGAGACCUAAGUGACAUAGUAUUGAUCUCUUCAUAAUGUCAUUUUGAGAAUCGAGGUUUUUAUAUGUUGGUGGACUGGUCAUUUAGGCAGAGCAAUGUUGUCUUGUGGACUUGCGAGAGCUUUGACUCCGCGAAAGACUCUGCGAAGUGUCUCGGUAUUAGAAGUGAUUGUUGCAGAUCUGCAGUGUGUGCAUCCUUAAAUCUGUUCAAUUAGUGUGUCUUAAUUUUGACCCCCAUGAGCAUGUGGGAAUACGUGAACUUUAGUUUUCUAGCAAGUAGGCUUCAUCGUCGAGUUUGUGGUCAACGUAAUGACGAGAUUGUUGUGUGACAUUAGGAGAUUUCAGCCCGAUGGUGAUAGCAAAUUUAUGCGUUUUAUUUGGGUUAGUUAUUUCCAUUGCUCAGGAAAGAGUGUGCAUACCUACGGGUACUCGUACUCUGGAGCAGGUAUCAUUGAACCCACUUACGUGUAAACGUUAGUGGUAGUUCAACGAAGGAUUUAAAGUCUUUGAGAAGAUUAAAAAUAAUUCAGGAUUCAAAUGAAAAGGUUAAAGGAGUCAGAGAUAGACUCAAAGCAGCUCUUAGUAGCUAGAAGAGUUUUAAAGAUGUCCGCAGGAAGGACCAUGAGUUUCAAGUGAGUGUUUGGGUGUUUUCGAAUUUGUCUCCUUGGAAAGGGGUGGUACGUUUUGGUAACGUGAAAAACUUGGUCCGAGAUUUAUUAGUCCUUAUGGGUUUUUAGAUCAAGUUGGCUCUCUUGUGUAUCAGUUAGUUUUGUCUCCAAAAUUAUCCAAGAUACAUAUUGUGUUUCAUGUAUCCAUGCUUCACAAGUUUAUUGCCGAUCUCUCUCAUGUGUUGCUAGAGCAGCCGAUUAAUGAGAAAAAGUUUUGAUCUAUGAUGAGGAGCUAGUUCAGAUUCUUGACCAAAAGGAGCAAGUGCAUGCUUAGAAGCAAAUCAUUUUUUCCUCUUGUUAAAGUUCAGUGGAUGAGUCAUCAAGUAGAGGAAGCUACUUGGGAAUCAGAUGAGCAAAUGAGGCAGCAGUAUCCCUAUCUCUUUGAUUUUCAGGUAUGUAAAUUUCGAGGACAAAAUUUUUAUAAGGUGGGGAGAAUUGUCACAUCUCGACCCUUAAAUUUUUACCUUAUUUACUAGCUUGGUUAUAAUAAGAAUUUUACUGUCUCCGUCAAUGAAUUUAUAGUUUAUUUGGUCCCUAAAGGUGUUCUGAGGGACGAUUAUUUCGGAAGAACUAUUCGUAAGAGAAAAUGGUGACGACGGUAAAAAUGAAAAAUUUUAGCUGGUAAAAGGUAAUUUUUAUUAGAGUAUUAUUUUUCAGGGUAUUUUAUUUUUGGAGUUGGGUUUGUUUUGGAGUGUGGCUAUUAAAGAGUGGACCGGGCCAUUUUGGGGUCAAAGCCCACUCACUCUCUCUCUUUCUCUCUCCCCUUUUCUCUUCUCUCCCGCUCCCCGAGUUCUCCCGCUACCGGACUUUCCGGCCGUCCGUCCGCCACCGUCCGGCCACCGCAGCCCGCCGCACUGGUCCCGUUCAGUUGGCCUUCAACCCAGCUACCUCCCUAGACCAGUGGCAGCCCCUCUAGAGCUGCCGCGAGGGAGUUCUCUCCCCCGAAAGCUCUGGCUGCCGUGGUGGUUUCCUCGCCGGAGCUCCCUCCUCUGGCCGCCAUAGCCGGCGAUUCUUGGCUCGUUUUGAAGCUCUCCUCCCAUGCAUCAAUCCCUCCAAAGGGCUCACCUCCUCUUGGUCUAGGUAAGGAGAACCGGUGAGUGGAAGUUUAGGGCUAUUUUUGAUGUUUUCGUUCGAUUGGCCUAGUUAAGCUUGGAAUUGGUGUUUGUGCUAGUUAGAAAAGUUGUAGAAGGAGUUGAGAGGAAGAUGCUGUCAAAAUUUCAUAGGCAUUGGAGGUCGCCAGAGCCGGCGGAGCUGACACCGCCGCUGCCGCUGUUUGGGAGAUUUUUAUGGUUUUAAAUGUGGAAUAUUAAGGGGAGUUUAUUGAUGUGAAUUAUGGAAUUUUUGGAGGAGUUUUGGACGGGUUUGUGAUUUUUCGAAGUUUGGUAUUUUUUACGGUUAAUUAAUGUAGAAUCCGGCCGAAGGAUUUAAGUCAUUGUUCUGGGGAGGUUGUAUUUACGGCUGCCCUUUAUGGUAUUUUACACCCGUCUGUCCACCUUAAUGGCGUAGUGUAGCAUCGCAUUAAGGCGUGACGUGAGCGUUGGACGUGAGCGUUGGAGCGUAGUAGCCCUAUAUAGACCCAUGAAUUUAUAUAGGGAGUAUGGACGUGUGUAAAUACAUACAUAUAUUAUAGAGCCUGAGAGGCUCGAUAUUUUUAUGAGAUAAAAGUUUUAUCGCUUGCGGCAUGCAUUCGAUUUUUUCCUUGGAAAUUGAUUUGGGGAAAUAUAAAUAUUUUAUUUAUUAAUUUAUUUUUGCACACUCACUCUAACAUGUUUCAAAUGUUUUCCCCUGAGCCCUUCGUUUUAAAAUCCCUAGUUUGCAGGAUUGCAUAGUUGAGGUCAAGCGUACAUGGAGAUGAGGCAUAGUCAUCAUAUAGCUUCCGCUUGUUAAUUUAUUAUGUUUCCUUUCUUCCUAUUAGAGUUGCUCUGAACCUAUAAAUGGUUGGAUAUGAGAUUUGUUUAGAUUAGUAAAUAAUUUGGGUAGUGUUGUGAUUUGGGGAGCACGAAGGCUCCAGGAGUUUAAGGUUGGAUUUAAUUUUUCCGAAGUGUUUGCAGGUAUUAUUAGGAAGGGUUGUCCAUUUUUCAAGGGAGGUUAUGCCGAAUUUUCAGUAAACUUUCUUUGGAGGUGGUCCUUGCAGGAUUUACUUCGGGUUUCAAGAUGAAAUUCAGGGUGGAUCUUGAGAUAUAUCUUUUCUGAUGGGAUCCGUAUCCAACAAACACACACUUAAGGGAACGACCCUCCAACUUAGAUCUUUGAUUUUUGUAAAGAUGAACAUAGGCCACACAAUCAAAGACACAAGCAGGAAGUUUGUUGAGAGAUGAAAUAGUAACAUGUUCAGACAAUACCUCAAAGGGAACCUGAUUCUGAAGAGCUACAGAUGGUAGACGGUUGAUAAGGUGAGAAGCACAUAAUACAGCUUCACCCCAGAGAUAUUUGGGUAAAUUGGCACUGAGUAAGAGAGCUCUUCCAAUAUUCAAGAGAUGCUGAUUUUUCCUCUCAGAUACUGUAACAUCCUGAUUUUUGAAAUUUCUCAAAAUUUUUUUUUCUUCUUAGAAAUAGAAAGUAGAGGUCGCCACGAGUUCGCCGUAUUUUUCGGUGAAUUUUUCGAGUUCUCGAGCUAUUUUUAACCAUUUUGUCAAACUUUCGUUGAAAUUGACUCGAGAGGUGACGUGGCUUGUUUCUAUGUGCUGAAUUCAUUUUUUUUGGCAUCAAGUUCAGCUCUCUUCCAUGUGGUUCAACUUGACAAGUUGGUACUCUAGCUCUUUGACCCGUGGCAUUCACCAAAGUGAAGCAAUCUCUCUAGUGAUGACAAGUGUCAUCUUAUGGCUAGUCAAAUUCAAGAAACCGACCUUUUACGUCGGUUUUGCAUCCCUAUAUAUAUAAGGCUGGCAUUGGUAGGUAUACCAACUCUAUUUACCAAUAUCAUGUACCAACCAACUUAAGGUUAGUAGACAAAAUCCUGUACCAAUAUCAACCGUCAAAGUUGGUAUACCAACUUAGUUGGUACGGUUGGUAAUGGGCCUCUACCAAGUUUAGAUUGAGGCCCAACAAACUGAAAGGCCCAACUCAUUUGAAUCAUUUUUUUGGGCCUCUACCAAGCUUCUAUCAAUUAUCAAACAAUUCAAACACAUUCAAAGUUUCACACAUCAUAUAAUUUCAAAUGCAACAAGCCAACAAUGUCCAAAGUCUUAUAUAUAAAAUUAAACAACACAUGUCCAAAGUCCAAACAACAUAGAAAAUUGAACAACACAAGCCAAUGAAAAAACAAAAGUCCAAAUUAGCAGAAACUAGACAAACUUUGCAGGGAAAGAUUGAUGCUGCGAGGCCGGGAGAGUGCUAGACUGCUAAACACCAGUCUGGACAGAGUAUCUUCAGGUGCAAAUGAAGGUGGCAGAGGUGUUGUUGAUGAUGAAGCCUGUAAACCGGCAGUCAUCUCCUCAUAUGCAAUAGAUGGAAAUGAUGGUGUUGAGCUUGAAUUGCCUACACAACCACUCUGUGACGACAUGGAAGAGCCCAUAGCCUAUGUGAAACGCAUCUAAUAGAUUAUACUCAUCAGUCAUCACAAAUUAUACUAACACAGAACAAAUUAUACUCAUCAACUCAAAUUAUAGAACACACUAACACAGAACACAAAAGUGACAGAACACAGAAGUGAAGAACAAAAACCAAAUUGAUAGAUAGCACAAACUAUAGAUAGCAGAAACACAGAAGUAAUCAUACACAACACAGAACACACAAACACAGAAGUAAUCUUACACAAUCGUACACAAGUAACACAAACACAGAGCACACAAACAUAGAUUGAUACAUAGUUAGAUACAUACGGAGAUUCGAGGCUUCUCGAACAGAGUCAUCGGAGAGUCGAGGCGCUGCCCUUGGUGUUGCCGAGUCGACGGCAAGAGAGGCGAGGUGCUGCCCAGUUCUCGAGGCGAGGUGGCGGAGGUGCUGCGAAGUCGAGGUGGCGGAAGUGUGAGGUGCUGCCGAGUUGAGGUGGCAGAGCCGCGGAGGUGCGAUGUGAGGUGAGAAUCGAGAGACUUUGACUCUUUGAGCGAGAGAGAGUAGAGACUGUGAGAGGUGAGAGAAGGAUAGAGACUGAGGGACUGAGGGACUUAGGGUUAUAUCAAGUGAUCAACGGCUUGGAUUCAUGGUUUUAAUUAUUUUUCAUUAUUUUUAAUAUAACUCGGUUGGUACACGGUAUACUGUAUUUUAGGAAAACUUGUACCAUGUACCAACCGACUUCUCAAACUUGGUACGGUACUACUGUACCGAAAACUCGGUUACCAACUACUUGGCAUUCCAAUUUGCUUGGUACGGUUGGUACAUAGUUGGUUGGUUUUGUUAGGGUCCAAAUUGCCAGCCCUAUAUAUAUACAUAUGCUCACUGAUCAGCUGUUUGUACAUUCUUACUCUCUCUCUCUCUCCUCAUUUCUUCAUCUCUUUAGAUUUACGAUUUAAAGUUCGGCAGAUCAUAACUUUUGAUCCGUAACUCCGAUUUUAAAUCCGUGAAGGGCUACAGGUUUGUAUCGAUGUCCUCUUCCUAUCUUUGAAGUUUGGAUUAGAUCCAACGGUAAUCUCUAGAUGACUCGUUUUAGGAAGGUCGGUUUACGAUCGAUAUUCUUAGUGGGGAUUCGUAUUGACUUGGUGAGUGGAUUUAUGUAAUAUUUUUAAAUAUUCUUAUUUGUUAUCAAAAUAGUCGAAAAACAUGAUUUUGAUCUAUUUAUGAAAUAUCUCUCUGUUUUUAAGUGAAACAUAUCGAUAUUGCGAAAUAUGCGGUGUUUAUAUAUAAUUAUGUGUUGGAUCCAUUGUUUGAUUAGUCAUAAAACAUGUGAACUUCUUGAUUGGUUAUGGCGAAGUAAGGAUGUGACACACGAAGGUAUAGGACAUGAAGGUCAUUAGGUUCCCGUGGGGAUCACUAAAUUGAAGGAUAUCCAAUAAGAAGGGAUUGUGCGAUGUGAUGAAUUGCGUGAAGUGAUGUGUAUACGAUAUACGUAUUUUGUAGCGUGUGUAAAAUGACAUGGCUUUGCGGGCAUAUUACAUUGGUCUACUCACUGAGCGCGUGGUUAUGCUCACCCACCCAUCUCUAAUAUUUUUUUACAGAGAAGUACUUAGAUUUGAUUAAGCCGAGAAAGGGUAGUCGACGAGCCUAGAAUAUAGUGUUUUUGUUUUAUUCCACUUUGUAACACUCGUUCACGCCUCGUGAACGGCGUUCGGUGCUUAAAACCCAUCGACGCCAAAACCAGGGUGUGACAGAUACCCCAUUUUGUUCUGGUGUCUGAGGACAAGUAGUCUGAUGAACAAUUCCAUGUUGCUGAAAAUAGUAUCGGAAAGAGUGGUUAACAAACUCUCCUCCUUUGUCAGAUCGAAAUAUUUUCACACAAGCAUCAUACUGAGUUCGGAUGAGACUAUGAAAAGCGGUGAAAGCCGAAAACACAGCAUCCCUCUUUUUCAAUAACACAACCCAAGUUAAUCUUGUAAAGUCAUCAAUAAACAAAACAAAGUACUUCAUUCUUGUCAAUGUCAAAUUCUUCGAAGGCCCCAUACAUCAGACUAAAUCAACUCGAAUGGUGCAGAACUAAAACUAGGAGAAUAACUGGACUUAUGACUCUUAGCAAAAACACAAGUUUCACAAUGGAGACUUGACUCUUUUAUUCCAAAAAAAAAAGAUGGCAUCGACUUCUUCAUGACUCCAAAAGAUGGAUGACCCAUUUGGCGAUGCCAUAGCCAAAUUUCUUUUACUCGAUCAGAACUCAAUGUCAGGGGAACGGUUGGUGACGGUGCUCUUGCUUCCCCACUGUACAUGCAAUCCAAGUGAAACAGUCUCCCUCGCAGAUCCCCCUUGCCUAUUAUCGCUUGAGAUGACAGGUCUCGGAAGAUAACAUACAUAGGAAAAAAGGUUACAGAGCAUUUGUUUUGUGAAAUCAACUCAGAAACAGACAAUAAGUGAUGUGAUAGAACGGGAACAUAAAUGACUUUGUUUAACACAAUUGUUGGAGUAACUUGAAUUGACCCUAUACCUAGGACCGGGAAGGACACCCUAUUUGCAUUAAACACUUCAGGUAUGGGAGAUGGGGACAGACUCGAAAAAAAGUACUUAUCAAAUGUCAUAUGAUCAGACGCACCAGAAUCAAUUAUCCAUGUAUCACUACCAGUAAAGUCAGAAAUUUUUAAUGCAAUGCCAAUUUUACCUCUUUUCUCUUGAGAACACAUACUUGUGGUGAGGUCUUGUCCUCCUACUCCAUAGAAAUCAUGUUCACGGGAAACUUCAGGUUGAUCACCAAAGAUUGCAAGAUCCAUUGCAAAGAGGAUUUGAUGACAGAGGAACAGAACAAGUACGACAGAAUUCGAUGAAAUCGAAAGCUUCCUUCGACACGUCGAACAAAUCAAAUUGGGACAGGUUUGGAACAAAUUUGUAGCGGAAAACAACAGGGUUAGAUUACCAAGAUUGCCAAGAUCGACUUAGGCUCUAAUACCAAGUCAAACAGAACACAAAAGGUUGGGAAUUUUCAGAUAUAUUGAACAAACCCCAAAUCGGGUAUAUAUACAAGCACAGUUCUAACCCUAGAAGGAAACUAAUUACACCGAAAUAUUUACAUAAUGCUAGUUGAUUACAGAAUAUACAUCUUCCCAAUAUACUAGGAUUGAGACUCACGUUAACACAAAACACCACUUCCUACCAAUUUUAUUUCCCUGUAGGCAGACACGAGACUAAAGGUAGGCUACGUACGGAUCGAGUAUUUAAGCUCUACAAUUCCUCGUUGAAUAUCAUCAAUGAGAUGAAGAUAAGAGCACUUUUGAAACAAAAAAUAUGUCACCCUAAAAAAUUAUUAUAAAAGUGCGUGAGAGUGUGGUGUUUAAUUUGGGAGUGCAAAUUUCAGUCCUCAUUUAAUUUUAUCCAAAAAUUUCUUAAUCAAUUACACAUUUCAAAUUCUUGAUAGUUACAACCAAAUAAUAGGUUUAAAUUCCAUUAUUUCAGAAUUUCUCAAUAAUUUAAAAAAUGGUGCGUCUAUUGCCACCCCACAAACUAUUUUGCUCACCCUACAUUCUCUUCACACCUCACUCAUAUAAUUUUAAUUGUAAGUCUACUUUGUUCACCCAUUAGCAAUACCUAAAAAAUCCUUUUCUCAAUUCUACUUUGUUCACUCUACAUUCUCUUUAUAUAUUUUGUCAAAUUCAUAUUUGCUCAAGGUAAGUAAAAUCACAAAGUCAACAAAAAUUCAUAUGAAAGUAUGAAUCCAAGUUAAAGAACAAGAUAAAACUCAAAUUUAACAACUCAAUAGUAUCAGUCGAUAUCAAGAUGCACAAUGUCUGUAAAUGUAUCUCUAGUAGCAACGCCUUCUAUACUUCUAAGUUUCUUGAACUGAUCUAUCAGCUGUUCAUAAUUACGGUACAAUAGUUGUUUAUCAGAAUUUAUAUACAAAGUCGACAUGGGAAAUAAUGAGUAAAGAGAUAGACGAAUUAUGAACAAAGAAAGAAAAAUAUACAAACAAUUUACCUCAUUUUUAGGUUAAAUGCUAGUGUCUUCAGACUCACGACCAAAUAUGAUAAAUCUGGGUUAUAGUUAUAAAAUUUGUGUUCAUCCAAAAUAAAAGGAUAAAAAAGAAAAAAAUUUGUAAUUUGUAACAACUUAAUGUCUUUUACUGUAAUUUUACAUCAGGCUAUUUUGGUAUUUCAAUAAAUCAACGUGUGGGGUUAGCAAAGUGGUUUGUGGGGUGGCAAUAGACGCACCCUUUAAAAAAUCUUAUCCAAAUUCCAUUAUUUCAGAAUUUUUCAAUAACUUAAUUUUUUUUAUCCAAACACAGCGUAAGAUAGUUAACCAGCUAGAGCUACAACAAAGAGGCGGCAAACCACCAAAUCAUUUAAUCACAGUAAAAUUAAUUGGGUUUCUUCCACUGCCUUAUGGCUUGCAAUAGGAUGGAAAAAUUCAAUAGAGGAGAAAAGGUUACCAUGUUUGGACCUUGAGGAGCAUUUCAACAGCUAAUACCAAUUGUUAUUAUUCCAAAAAAGAAAGAAAGAAUAAGCAUAGCUGUUACCAAAGCAAUAAAAUUACUUGCAAGAAAAAGACAUGGAGUUGAUGAACAUUGACGCGGCUAUAUAGAAGACGACAUUGACGCGGCAGCAAACACAUUCAAGUUUAUCAUUCAUGCUUGCAUUGAUCAAGCCUUGAUCAAACAGGAGCCAACUAUAGUUGAGAAGCUGUGUUCUUGAUUUUCACCGGACUAAUGCUGCUGCUCUCAGCAUGGACGCUGCAUUUGAAAUUGUUUCGACAAUGUUCGAUAAACUUGGGGCAUACGCUUCUUAUUUCAUGAGGGGCGCGCUGGAGAGCUUGGCACACAUGCACAAGUUGCCUGACGAUCGACUUUCCUUUCAGGAAACAGGCCACUCUUCUUCUUGGAUCACUUGUCGAGGAGAAAUGUGGACUAAAUGAUGUUAAUAUUAUAGCUCUCCUGCCUCAAGGACAACUCAUGGAACUGCUUGCAGAUUACACGGGACUUAAAUCCAUAGAAAAGCUGGAAUUUUCUCAUCGAAAACGGAAGGAGGAUUUUGAUCUUGGGUCCCUCCCAGGAGGGCUUCCAUAUGGUCGACGUUCAGCAGAGUUUAAGGCCGAGGCAGCUGCAGCUGCCAUAUAUGGUGCUGCGCAGAUAGCAAAGAAGAUGAAACUUUAAGAUAACCAUCUCAUCAUAAGCGUGUUGUAAUAUGUACAGUCAAGUACCUAAUAGUAUUAUUCUGAACAAUCGAUCUAUUGUGUGUAAUAUGUACAAAAAUAAAACACUAAUGAUCAAAUGAGAUCAGCCAUUCGAAUCUAAACCCAUCAAUCAUUCCAACAGAAAACAAGUUCAUCCGCAAGCUAGUAUGCUACUACUCUUAACGUUGCUACCGCCAUGUAGGUGUACUGGUGUACUAAGUAACAAGCGUGCAAAAAACAGAACAUCAUAUAUUUUUAUAUCCAGCCACAUCAAAACCUUUAAUAUUUGAGGAAAACUCAACCAAAAGUCAUAUUUAAUUAAAGAAUUAAAUUCAGUUUACCUCCUUGUGGUUUGGGGGUGACUUCAUGUUAGUCCCUACACUUUUAUUUUCAUCAGUUUAACCCUUGAACUCUUUAAUUUCUGUCUGCCGUGCCCAAAUUCUCAUAUUCCGUUUGAAUUGACCUUUAAUUAUCAGCAGUUAAGGUUCGAUUUGGACAUAUAAGGUCCGAUUUGCCCAAAUUCUAGAUACUGGCCUCACAGUUAUGGUUAAAAUUAUCAGUAGUUAACGUCUGAUUUGGACAUAAUAUAGGACAUUUAGUCACACUUGAGGAAAAUUCAAAAGUUUGAGGGGUAAACUGAUGAAAUUGAAAGUAUAGGGAUUAACAUGAAGUUACUCCCAAACUUCAUGGGAGUAAACUGAAUUUAAUUCUUAAUUAAACUCAGCCUAAUCAAACAAAAGAAACAAAUAGUAACUAAACCCUUCCCCAUGACACUCAACUGCAAGGAAUUUGUACUUCUAAGUUUCAAGAAGAGAUGGAACUACUGCACUGAAAACUAUUGUGCAGAAAGGAAAAAGAUGAAAUACAUGGUUACUGUAUUGACUAACAGCAGCAUCCACUCAUUUCUAAGAACUAUAUCUGAGAAAAGUAUUAUCUUGACCAUCAAAAUGGAAUCCAAUACAUAAAAAUAUAAGCAACUCACCACAGGAUACAAAAAUGACAAGAAAGGAAAGUAGAUUGAGUUAUCCUUCACAGUUCACAGCAAAGAGAUUAUGUCAUUUCAUGAUCGAAGUGAUAGUAAACAAAUUCACUGACAGGUAGCAGCUUAUUAAGAAAAACGUUGAGAACACUAUAAUCAUCGAGACAACACAAGAAUACACUUGUGCAGUUGCGCAUAUCCACAAGUAGGCACAAUCUGAAGCAACAACAAUCUUUCAAUAAGUCAAGCAUCAAAAGCACAUUACUGUCUCUCAAAUCACAAUAACACUCCAAAUGAAAAUAAGCCAACUUCUAACUGAUAGUGAAAAGAUCUCAAUCCCUAUAAAUAUAUUAUAGACUUAGCUAAGGUGAGAUAAGGAGACAGUGACACUAGCAAUGAUACAUACAUUAGGUAUAUCAUUGCAAAGAGCCAGUAUACCACAAAUCUAAUAUAUGUCCCAAGAAUGGUAAUUCUCUUCAACCACGUUAUGUGGCCAGACACAAGAAGUGGGACAUCAAACAACAGACUAGAUUGUAUAGAAACAAAAUCAAGAAAAAGCUAGUCGCAGAAACUGGAAUCAUGUUACAUAACAAAUCACAACCACAGUUAUAGAAUUCAUCCAAAGCUUAUUGAAAUGAAAAUGCUGAGUCACAUGAGGAGAGGAACAAUAUACCACCAGAAUGAAAGUAUAUAAAAGAUGAACUUUAUCAUUCUUCAAUUAAGGGAUAUUAUGUCCAUGCAACAACAUGGUGAGAGUGAUAUUACAUAAAUCUUCUAAAAGAUUACAGCUUAUUAAGAAAACUGGUGAUGAAACUUUUUGAAACAACAAUACAAGAGUGUGCACAUGCACCGCAAGUAGGCAGAAACUAACAACAAUCUUACAAUAGAACAGUCAUCGAAAACACACUACAGUCUCUCUGAGGGCACUCCGAUAGCCGUUUCCAGUUCCAUCUUGCAGUUGUCUCUCAAAUCUUUUAGCGUGACAAACUUGUCGUGCUGCCAGGCAGAACCAAGAAUAAUAAUCAGAAUAAGACCCCAAAGGAAAGAAGAUGCCACUUAACAGAAAGAGCAAAAUAUCACAAUUUCUCAUUCAAAGGUAGGUUUAUAACAGAUGAAACAACUGCACUCACAAGGUGGUUGCCUUCAUUUACGAAGAUAUCUUCCAUGUGAAGAAAGAGGGAUCUCCACUGACUUGAGAGAUCAGAUUCCAGUUUAGAUGUUUUGUUUGGGUACCGUGGUCCCUUAGGAUCAAUCUCCUUUUCCCUGAAACUUUUCUGAACCAAUAUGCCUGCUUCUUUUUGACUCUUCUUCAAAGCUAUGGAAAGGUAUUAAAACAAAACACAAAUGAAGAACAAAAUAUUUCAGAAUGAAAAGAAAAUACAAAUGUCCAAAAACAACUUUUAGAUGCACCCUAGUGAAACUUUACACAUUGAAAAAACUUACCAGUAAUACGACCCUUUAUAUCCUGGUAUUGGAGGUCCGACAGAAUGUGAGCAGCUGAUUAUGACAUUGCAAAACAAGCAAACUCAUGUUAGUCUACAUUUAAACUUCUACUUCACAAGUCAGAUAAAGAGGAAUUGUAAUACCUUGCAAGCAAAAUGAACACGAGCAAUCAUUGAGAGAGUCAUCCCCUACAUUCAAAUCAGCCACACCACUAAGACUUGUGCAUCUUGCCAUUGAACAUCCCAGUGAGGUAGGCAUCUUAGACCACUCGGUAGAGCCAUAUGCAGUUGCACCUACUUUACCAAGACCAGGGUCCCUUUCAUCAUUCCUGGGAACAACAUUGCCUAACAUAGGAGUGCUCUGAGCAUCGUCAGAGGUCUGUCCCGCUUUCUCAUACUGACAUUUCCCACCGCCAUCGCAGCAGCCAUUCUUGCACAGCUCUGAGCAUGUGGACAUUGAAGCAACCGACAAGCAAUUAUCUCUCGACGCAUCACCAACUUCCAUAACACUGUCACUGGACUUCUCUCCAAUGUCAUCAUCAAGCACAAUAACAGAUGCAUUGUUGUCAUUCGUCGAAUCCCCCGCACUGCAAGUGGGUGAAAUCACAGGAUCCGGCACUAUCCCCUUCGAUGAAGACACACCUUUAGGGUCACAAUCGUCCCCCAACUUCUCUCCAACAAAAUUCUCAUCCCCCAAAGACACUUUCUUUGCGAACUUCCACAAACCCCCAUCUCUAGAACCCACAUUUCCCCCAUUCCCAUCUCCAGAUUUCGCAUCCAAAUCAGCUGAAAUCUUCAAAAACCCCCUUUUAAGAGGCCGAUUGGUCAAAUCACCAAGAGCCGAACGGGUUUUGCAAGACCCAUCUGCUGAAUUAUCGUUACUCAUAAUGAAAUUCACUUCCCCAAAACCAAAAACGAAGUAAUCUUCUCGACCAAAUAGGUUUUCAACUUCCAAACCCCGAAACCCAACUCCGCCACUCACCUAUAGCAACGAAUUAUGCAGCGAAAUGAAAAACCCAGAAGCCAAAAUCAGUCAAUUACAAAACCCAAGAGCCAGAAAUUUUAAAAAACUACGAAUUUAAGAAAAUAUUUAACCGUAGAUACGCAAUUGAAUCGAAGCAAUAAAGAAGAAAACAUACAUGGGUUCAUGAAAUUGAGGGGGUUUAUAGAGAGACUAACCUUUGGGGUUGGGAGUGAAAUCUGAGAGAGGAUCUGGAAUUGAAGAAAGGUGAGGCGCGCUCAGCGAGAGAGAGAGAGAAAGAAAUGUAAAUCUGAAAAUCAAAAUUUUGAUGAGGCGGGAGUGUCGUGAUUCUACUCUGACCGCGCCCCGAGUUUGAAAACGUGAGGUUUUUGCGGACCUAACGAAAAUGGGGUUCUUUACGAAAAUAAAAAUAAAUAAAAUUCCUAAAAAUUAAAGACAUUCCAAUAAAAAUAAAAUAAAAUUUGCCACAUAGACUGAAAAUGUAAAGCUGAACACAAUAAACAUUGUUGAAAGCAUUCGGCUUUACAGUUUCGUUCAAUCAUUUAUCUUUUCAAGAGAUUCUUGCAAGGUAAGCGCGUCACGUGUCAGUAUGUUCGACCAAUUAUUGUUUAUACAUAUGAAUUUUUUGGAUAUUUCAAUAUAAUUAAACAUUAGUUGUUUUGAUAUACACUUAAAAAUUAAGAAGACAUAAUUGGACGAGGCUUAUGCAUUUGUCCUACCUAAGUAUUUCUUAUUUUUCCGCUCAAAGAGCCACUAAGAUGUAAGAAAUCUCAAUACUUACAAAAGCAUUAUGCCGUUUUUAAUUUUAAUGUAUUUAAGAAAAUACUACUAUCAAAAUAAGUACUUUCAUUGAUUAAAAUACAUGUGCCAACUGAUAAAAAAGCGGCUUUUAAACAAAUAAAUCAUGUCACUAGUUGGUCCUUCUUUUUGUUGCUUAAAGCCUGAUUAAACAAGCGUAAUUUAUUGAAAGAAAAAAAGAGUGUCACACCAUAACAGGAGGGGCCUAACUCUACUCCCACUGAUAACAAAGAACAAACAUAUAACUCGCAACAAAAAAAAAAAUUAAUACAAACAAAAAGUGGGAACCCUAAACCAAUUGCUAUUACGAAGAGAAACAACAAAAAUUGAAGGCAUGUUGCACCAUGUCAAACCCGAUGAACCUAUCCCUUCAUUUGUCAAUGUCACUGUAAUCGGUAGUCGAUAAAUAUAUCCCUUGGCCCACAAUGCUACCGGAAGCCUAGCAUGAGGUAGGCCGAGCAAGCCUCAUCCUGGAGGUUAUGGCAGUCUGGGCCGGGCAGGAGACACACCACAAAUGGCCAAAUAAACAGACCUUAGUAGCAUAUUUGUCCCACAUCGGAUAACAGACAAGAUAUAAGUCAACGCAGGACUAUAAAUACAAUGCUAAAGUCAACCAAAGAGGGAAGAAAAUCUCCUAGCAUUAAAUACUAUACCUACCAAGUAACUAACUUAAUCAUCGGAGAGAGAAAGACCGGAAAAUCCCGGUCAAUCUCCUCUCAGGUAGCAAGUCAACGACGAUCAAAGACAUAUAUCACGCCAAGAGCUUCUACGAGGUCUACGGGAUCUUGCAGAAACAGUCACUAAUUGCAACAAAUUCCAAUGUUUUCUACUUCUUUCAUAUGAGUAUUGCAAGCUUAUUGGUCGAAUGAUGUAAAGAAGUCUUUCAAUAUUGCAUAAAAGUUAUUAUGUUUGAUUAUUUUACUCCACCCUCAACUUCACUUAAUGGUUGAACACCUGGACUAGUCUUACACUUUAUGUAGCCGCCACACGAGGCGGAUUAUUGUUACACUAGUAGUGCAUUUACUCUAAGACACUUCUAAAGCACUUUUGAACAUACUAUAUGCUGUUUGAUAUGACUUUGAUACGUUUCACUAAUAAUUCAAAGCUUCAGAUAUAAAAGAAACCAUCAUUCUUUUUAAAGAACACAACAAUUUCUUUGAGAAUUCAUGUAGAAAGUGACUCGAAACUGGUUAUAGAUUGCCUCAACAAAAGUUUUGAUUCUCCUUGACUAAUAGGGUUCCCGACUAAAGACAUUCAAAGAACUGCGAGUAAGUUUCGAAUAAAUCAGAAAUCUCUUUUUUCUAGUACUUCUCAAGGCAAAUUUUGUGACGGAUCCGGUUACUACGCUUGGUCACCGAGCAAAUGAUCUAAUUGUGGGACGGAAUAGACUUCCUCUCUCCGCCUCCGCCAGUUCUCUAUUUAAACUACACAAUUUAUGCACACACACAAAAGGAUGGUCAAUGAAACGACGCCGUAGUGACAAAUCUGAUCCAAUGACCCAUAUUUCCCUGCUUUAGGCUUGGCGUCACUCAAACAAACAUAUCCCAUGACAUUGAAAGGCGCGCCAAAACCAACUGCCUACCCCUCCACCCAAUAGCCCACCGCCACAUCACCUUCCACGUCGUCACCUCUGCCGUAUAAGUAACCAACCUCGAUCAUCUUCCUCUUUCCAAAUUCCAAUUCGACGCUGCAACUCUCUCUCUCUAUCAAUCAAAGAUGCAGAAACCGAGCCCAGAUCCAACGGCGGAGGAAGACUCCCACUCCGCCGUGCGGCGCAUCGAACUGCUGUCCCUCCACCUGACGCCGCUCACAAUAUCACCGGACGACUACCGCCAAAUCGAGCGGUUGGAGUGCGCGAAGGCGGCGGCAGCGAAGCUCAACGUGGAUACGAAGAGCCUCUCGAGCUACAUGAGAGGAAAGCACAGAGAAAUCCAAGACCAGGUGAUGGACUACUUCAACAACAGGCCUGACCUUCAGACUCCGGUGGAGAUUCUGAAAGACGAUCAUCGCGAGCUUUGUAUGAGGCAGCUUACGGGACUGGUCAGGGAGGCCGGGAUCAGGCCGUUCCGGUACGUCGUCGAGGAUCCGGCCAAGUAUUUCGCGAUUCUGGAAGCUGUGGGCAGCGUCGACAUGUCGCUUGGGAUCAAGAUGGGAGUGCAGUACAGGUGAUUGUUGCUUUUGCUCUUUUUAUUUUUUGUUAUGGUUUUCGGUUUUCGGAUGAAUUGGCUUGGAAUUGUGACUUGAAUUGGGAGAUUAUGAUUGUUUUUGACUGGUUUGAUAGUUUGACUGGCAAAUGAGAUUGUUUUUUUGGUGUUGAGGAGAGGAAAUGACCUUGAUUAUUCUUUGUAUUGUUGUGUUAUGAUAGGCAGAAUCGGAUGGCCUUUUAGUCCCUUUGUUCUUUGUCGAUCAAAGGAUCUGCUAAUUUUACUCUUUAGAUUAUGUUCAUUGUAGUUGCGCUUUGAUUAGCUGUGAGUGUGGUUUUCUUUCGUGAUCCACGAAAUGUUGCACAAAGACGCCGGGUAUAGAGGUAGAGCUACAGAGAUAGUCAUAGAUAGUGAUAGUGGGAACAGCGAUAAAGAGAUAUGAUAUUAUAGUGUGGUUUUGAAGUUAUAUGAACAACAAAUGUUACUUAAAGUUUUGAUAAUGAGGACACCAUUUGAGUAAUCAGCAACCCUCAUUUAUGGCCAUUGUUUGCUCUUGUUUGUUGGUCGAUGACUUAUGCCAAUGUGAUAUACCUUAAAACUUGUGCUGUUAUUGCAUAGAGAUGUUCAGACACAUGGAGGGAGAAAUUGUCAAAAAAGCUUAAGCGAAAUGGAGUAGAGUGUUGCUUUCUGAGUGCUGUUCUGCAUCCAAAAGUGUGUAGUUUUGGAGGCAGUGAAAUAUUCCAUGAAUAUAGAGUAGGUCCAAUGUUCAAAUUAGUGCUCUACUGUAUAUUCUUCCCUUUUAAUUCCAAUAGUUCACGUGUUAUCUCCUCGUGUGAGAGGUGUUGGUCUGCACUCGCUUAAGCUAUUGAAUAAUGGUACAAGCUGAAUUAGAAUGGUACCCCUACUCAGAUUACUCAAUAUCCUAUAGAGUCGGUCAUUUGGUGAUGAAGGAUGAAAUGUCCAUGAUUGCACAUAUAGGACCUAGUGUGGAUGCUUGUCAAGAAGGGGACUAUAACAAUGAAAUCGAGCUUUUGUACCGAAAUGAAGUGGAUAUCACGAAUGGUCUUAUGUUGAAUGAGGGAUGACUGAGAACUGUUUUUACAUGGGAUUGAAAACUUUUUACAGAAUCUACAUCCUCUCAUGCAAGGGGAAUUCUCUAAAGGAAGGUUACGAAAGUAUAGAUGAUAGAUUACAAUUACACUGGGUUUUAGUAAAAUAAACAGUUGUUCUGAGCAGCAUAAGUUUUCUGAAGGCAAAUUACCGUUAAUAGGGUCUGCUGAAUUCUUGCUAUUCAAAAGAACAUUCCUAGUCACCAAAAGGAAAGAUUGAAAUCUAUAUGUCAUUUUUUUGAAGCUUGGAGUAGAGUGAUUCAUUGCAUGCUUCUUUAAUUUACAAAAACUUCUCAUAGGACAUUUUUUGUUCCAGUUAAUGCUGAACGUUGUUUGGCGCCCAACUGAUUUUGUUUACAGUUUGUGUUUUAUCUUGCACUGAUUUUUAUUUCUUACUUAUGCAGUCUAUGGGGAGGUUCUGUGAUCAACUUAGGAACCAAGAAACACAAGGUUAAGUACUUUGAUGGUAUUGACAAUCUGGAGUAUCCAGGUUGCUUUGCUAUGACUGAACUUCAUCAUGGUGAGUUGUGUUGAUACUUCCAGUCCUUUACCUGUUUCCUUGUUUAUUCCUAAGCAUAUGUCAAAGAUGACACUUUACCUGUUUCCUUGUUUAUUCCUAAGCAUAUGUCAAAGAUGACACUUUAUUGGUGUGAAUUACACAACUUCAAUUGUGUGUUAAAGCAUCUUGAUUUUCCAAAUUAGUCUGUUCCACAUCUAUGCUUUUAUAAGAGGAACCGUUUUAAUCAUGGUGAUAAUUUAAUCUCGAUAAAAUCAAUUGCAUAAAAAAAAAGGCAACCACUAAGAAACAGCUUUAUGAUGGAUAAUAUAUUAUAAAGAAAGUUCUCCUAGAUUUAUCUUUGAUGAGUUGUUAGUCAAUGUGUUGGAAUGUCGGAAUCGAUAUAGACAUAGUAACAUAAAAGAUACUGAUGGUUUCAUAAUUGGUUUUGAGAAAGCUUAUGAUCAUGUUAGUGGAGACUUGUAGAAUUUAGUUUGUCUAUGAAAGGUUUCAUACGUAAUUGGAAGACUUUAAUUAGUGGUUGGUUGAGCUCAAGGAAUUGUAAGUCUGCAUUAAUCACGGGCGUGUGGAUCAUUUCAAAGCGUCCUGGAGGCUUAUUCCAUGUCUUAAGCAUGGCUGGUGAGGUCAAUCUGAUUGAGCUGGGUCGUGAGUAGACUUGGGUGCCCCACCCUCCUGCUUGCACGCAACCCAUUAAUUUAUAAAUUUAGGGGAUGAGGAGAUUAAUGUGAGUUGAGACUACGAUUCUUAACCUUUUGGCAGCAGUUUCAGGUUUUUACUUUUUUUUUCUUCGUCUUUUUUUUCUUUCUAGUUUACUGUGGACUGGUGGUGUUUGAUUGUACUUUUUCCAUGCUUCAAAUAAAUAUCUACUAACAUUUCAGAAAAAAAAAGAAAUGGGAUAGAAUGCAAACAAGUCGAUCAUCUUCCACUGCUUGAUGAUUAUUAUCUACCUUCUUUUGUUUCACAUUUCUCUUCGAUUACGUAGUUUAUAGAUUUGACAUUUACAUGGGUUUGGAUUUGAUUAUAAGUAAAUGUGCGAGUUUUUGCUUUUUGUAUAUUCAAACAAGAAAUUUCUCUAUGUAGGUUUCAUGUCUUAAUUCACUUUGUUUCUUCUUUGGUGUGUAAAGGCUCAAAUGUUCAAGGUCUACAAACAAUGGCAACAUUUGAUCCAAUCACAGAUGAGUUUGUAAUUGACACACCAAACGAUGGGGCCAUCAAAUGGUGGAUUGGGAAUGCUGCCGUUCAUGGCAAGUUUGCCACUGUUUUUGCUAAGCUGAUGUUGCCAACACAUGAUAAAAGAGGAGUCUCUGAUAUGGGUGUUCACGCCUUCAUUGUACCAAUACGGGAUAUGAAGACUCAUCAAACUCUUCCUGGAAUUGAGAUAAAUGAUUGUGGCCAUAAGGUUGGUCUGAAUGGGGUGGACAAUGGAGCAUUAAGAUUCCGCUCUGUCAGGAUCCCUCGUGAUAAUCUUCUUAAUCGCUUUGGAGAUGUCUCUCGGGAUGGUAAAUACACAAGUGGCCUACCAUCUAUAAAUAAAAGAUUUGCUGCCACGCUAGGGGAACUUGUUGGUGGGAGGGUUGGACUUGCAUAUUCUUCAGGUAGCGUCUUGAAGAUUGCUGGCACAAUUGCAAUCCGAUAUUCUCUACUGCGUCAGCAGUUUGGUCCUCCAAAGCAACCUGAAGUCAGUAUUCUUGAUUACCAGUCCCAGCAGCACAAGUUGAUGCCAAUGCUUGCUUCAACUUACGCAUUCCAUUUUGCCACACUGCAUUUGGUGGAGAAAUAUUCAGAGAUGAAGAAGACUCAUGAUGAACAAUUGAUUGCAGAUGUCCAUUCUCUUUCAGCAGGGCUCAAGGCUUAUGUAACGUCAUACACAGCCAAGUCGUUGAGUAUCUGUAGGGAAGCCUGUGGAGGCCAUGGUUAUGCUGCUGUCAACCGCUUUGGCAGUUUGAGGAAUGACCAUGACAUUUUUCAGACAUUUGAAGGGGACAACACUGUGCUUCUACAGCAGGUUACUAUUGCAUCACAUUCUGAUACCUUGAAGAUUUUACAUCAGCAUACUAAUUUCUUGAAGACUAAAACUGUUUUUGUUUUCCCCUUUUCUCCUGAAAAAUUUCAUAGUUAAGUAUUAUUUUCAUGGUUUACGGCAAGUUGUUUAAAUGGAGAAUUUUAGCUUAAGUAAUGCCGCUUCUACCAUUUCUACAUGGAACUGCAUUUUGGGGUAUUGGCAUUAAUGUUGCAUUUGAUACAUGAAAUGUACAUUCUACAAUAUUCAUGAGGACAAUUCCUCUUAUGAAAUUUCCAGUGGUAACACAGGUAGCAGGUGAUCUAUUGAAGCAGUACAAGGAAAAGUUUCAAGGCGGGACACUCUCUGUUACCUGGAACUACCUUAGGGAGUCCAUGAACUCAUACCUGUCUCAGCCAAAUCCGGUGACUGCUCGAUGGGAAAGUGAAGACCAUCUGCGAGAUCCUAAGUUCCAGUUGGAUGCUUUCAGAGUGAGUUCUCUUCUAUGCUGUAAAUCAUCAUGUUAGCGAUACGCAAAUUUUAUAACUGAAUUGGCUUGGUUUUCUUCUUGCAGUACCGAACUUCUCGACUACUUCAAAGUGUUGCUGUUAGACUUCGCAAGCACUCUAAACCUCUUGGAAGUUUUGGUGCUUGGAAUAGAUGCUUAAACCACCUCUUAACACUUGCAGAGUCCCAUAUUGAAUCUGUCAUACUUGCCAAGUUUAUAGAAGCUGUGCAGAAGUACUUCCUAGUUCCAAUCUCUGCGUCAUGCUUUACAUUCUUUGUUUUUUUGCUUUAUGGUUGUGAAUUUCUAAUUUGAAUUACUUUCUUCCAGCUGUCCAGAUGCAAGUUCUCGAGCUGCUCUGAAGCUCGUCAGUGAUCUAUAUGCCUUGGAUCGAAUAUGGAAAGACAUAGGAACCUAUCGUAAUGUUGAUUAUGUUGCACCGAACAAAGCUAAGGUAUACAAAUUCCUUGGUAACCGAACUGAGCAUGAAUACAGAAAUUGUUUCUUUUGAAUCUGCAUUUCUGCACCUAACCGAACAGAACUCCUGCAUUAUUCACCAGUGCACCACUUUUUGAAAAAUGCUCAAGGGUCCAUCUUGAAAUAGUGUUACCAAUGUAUAGAUUUUUGAUUUGAUGAUGAAGCGAAGUUUGUUUUGAGUUAGAGAAUUUAAAUCAUUAGAUAGCAUGCUUUUGAAAUAACUAUAGCUUCUGUUUUUCUUUGUAAAAUCGAGGUAUAUAUGUAUCCAAGUUUUGACUAAUUCAUUCCCUAUGUUUGAAUGUUUGAAUGUUUCGAUGUCUAGCUAAUGCAUUUCUGUUUUGUGCAGGCAAUCCACAAGCUCACUGCAUACCUGAGUUUCCGAGUGAGAAAUAUAGCAGGGGAACUCGUAGAUGCAUUUGAUAUUCCAGGUUAUGUUACCCGUGCCCCAAUUGCAAUGCAGUCAGAUGCCUACUCUCAGUACACACAACAUGUGGGAUUUAAUCCCUUAUAGGGAACAAAAUACAAAAAAUAUAGGUUUCAAAUAAUCGUUGGUGCCACAUUGGCAAAACAUGGGAAUGAUGAAGGGAGUACUCCUUUCUUUGUUACCAUACAUGUUUCUUCCUUUUUUCCAAUUAGAAAAGGAAAAUUGGUGGUCUGGGACUUGAGAGUGUGAGGAUUAAAGUCUUCAACUCAUUGUGGAUGUUGUGAUAUAUCUGGGAAGGAAUAGAGUCUUGUUACUUGUAUUUGUUACAUUACGAAGCUGCCAUUCUAAUACAAGGAGCAAUUCUUGCUUCAUACAAGUAUGUCUCUUCGUGUUCCAGUGCUGAUAAAAGAUGUCUAGUUGCUUUUGAAUUCCAGAAGUAGAGAGCCUUUCUGGGUUGUAACUUGUUUGUAGGCAUCGAAGAUGAUAACCAAAAUUUAAACGUUAUGAAACAGUAGAAUGUCCGAAUGUUGAUAUGUGAAGGUGAAGUUGCUUGUGGUUGGAAGUUUGAAGAUUAUAAGAAAAAGUAGGUUGUCAAAGGGAGUUGAAUGAUCUUAACCGGUCUUAACCCUCGUACUCGAAGUGUGAGGAGACUGCUGUUUCAUCGUCAAGGUUUUGCCAGUAAGACAUUUGGUUGGGACUGGUCUUUGCCGGAAAGGGAUUCCCUGACAAUUUAUCUGUCGUCUGUGGUUCUUGCUAACAAUUGCCAAGGUCAAGUUCCAAGUUUUCAUUUAACGGGUAAACAAAGUAUUAUCUGAGACUAGAUUAUAUAGUAGUACCAUAUGCAAUCAUGAACAUAAACCUCAUAACUUAUGGUUGGCGAAGUCUUCCCUUUGGUUCCGUUCUCAAGCAGACUGCCCCAAACCAUGCAGUUUUCGUACUGCGACUAAAAUUUACACUGUUUCCAGUCACAAACUCAUACGUGAUAACUACAUUAACAGGCCUGCAGUAUGAGUGUGCAUUUCUUGCUGCUUCGCUUUUCUGUGAUAUCUACAAACAUCUUCACUGCCGCCUUCUUCUCCAAAAAAAAAAAAGAAAAAAGAAAAAAAGAAAUAAAAAAGACCACCAGUAUUUCCUCGGAAAAUUUAGUCAGUCUAUCAAGAACCUUUGUCAAACUCGCAUGUAUGCAACUCAGGUUCGGAGAAGAUUUUCACAGUUCUCAUCAUCUUUGUUCUCUGAUACUCCGUUGUUUGCAUCGGCUGCCCUCACUCAUAGUGGAUGAGAUACAAAUGGCUUGCUUGUUCCAUCAAGUGAGAACUAUGUUCAAUGUGGCAUGAAGGAAACAAAAGGACCAUACUUACCCUCAGUGUAAGGAAAAUAUUCUGUAGUUGGAAAGGAAUUCCACGUCAACCCAAAUGUCACACGAAUUCCACGUUAACCCAAAAUGUUGUCCACAUGUUAGUCUAGAAAAUUCGCUACACGCGCGGAGUGUGUUGAGAUAUAAAUCCCACAUCAGAAAAAAUGGGACCUUGCCUGUGGUUUAUAAGGGUUUGAGCUACUCUCUCUAUUGCCAAUUGAUUUUGAAUGUGAACCCCAGAGUAUUUUAUCAUGGUAUCAAAGCAAAUGCGGUAACAAAACCAGGAGACAGACUAUACUACCUGGUGGCACUAGCAACGGAGAAAUUUUUCACCAAUCACUCCUCACCCUAGAACAGACCAGCCUGGAACCUUACCACCUCUUCCACCAAUCUCUGGCAUAGUCACCUAGGUCAUGUAUCACCUUCUCGUUUGAGUUUUAUUGCCAAUAUUUUUUUGAAUUUUUCCAUUCAGUCUAAUAAUGCUUGCCCUAUCUGUCCUCUGGCAAAACAAAGUCGUUUACCAUUCCCUUCUAAUGUUAUUUCUUCAACAAAACCUUUUGAGAUUAUUCAUUGUGACAUUUGGGGUCGUUAUCGACAUCCCUCUCUUACUGGUUCUCAUUAUUUUCACACCAUUGUUGAUGAUUAUACACGUUUUACUUGAUAUUUUUGAUGCAAUUCAUAGAUGAAACACAACCACUUAUAAAACAUUUCUUCAGUUAUGCUUCCACACAAUUCGAUUGUCGCAUUAAAACUUUUUGAAGUGACAAUGGUGGUGAAUUAUCUCAUUUCGUUCCUUUUUUCAAGACAAUGGUAUCAUCUUUCAGCAUUCAUGUGUUUACACACCUCAACAAAAUGGGGUUGUGGAACGCAAACACCGUCACAUCUUACAAGUAGCCCGUGAUUUGAAAUUUCAUGCUCAACUUCCUACCGAAUUUUAGGGGGAGUGUGCUCUCACCGCCGUGCCGUUCACAUCAUCAAUCGGUUACCUUCCCCUCUACUUUCUUUCAAAACACCAUUUGAGUUACUUUACUCAACACCACCUUCUUACUCUCAUCUCCGCGUUUUCAGUUGUUUAGCCUAUGCCACUAAUGUACACACAUCACACAAAUUUGAUCAUCGUGCCAAAAAAUCCAUCUUCAUCGGCUAUCCCAUUGGACAAAAAGCUUAUAAAUUGUUUGAUUUACAAGAAAAAUCUUUUCAAGCCGAGAUGUCAUAUUUCAUGAACAAAUAUUUCCCUAUGCAUCUCCUCAGCCUAAUCUUUCUAUUUCUUCGCAAGCCCAAAAUUUAGGCCCAAUCCUCUCCUCACCUAUUGACUUUUCUUUUGAGCCUUCUUCUCUUUUGACUCCACCACACACUCUCUAUUCCCCAAAACGCCAAUCCAACCAAUCCAGACCACCCAACAUCAUCGACACCUCCAUCCUCUGAAAUCACUCCAUCUCUUUCGGCACCACCUUCCCCUGCACCAUCCUCCAUUCUCAAAACCUAUUUCCGCCGUCCAAAAUCAAUCUCCAUACCUCCACCAAUCCCAUCAUCUCCAGAGCUGUCUUCCCCGACAUCACCGUUGUCGUUGUCUCCUUCUCCGAUGUCGCCUUCACUGGCGCCAUCGUCCUCACCAACUUGACCAAUUUUCGCGCCACCAGAACCUAACCUUCCUUCACUAGAAAUCCAACUCGUAGUUGCUGUCCCUCUCCGUCGCUCUAGCCGUCAUAUUGCACCGCCGAUCAAAUUGAAUGAUUAUGUCCACUCUGAUCAAUCGUCUUCCCUAACUCCAGGUCCUACAAAAGGUACGUGAUAUCCAUUGGAGAACGAUGUCUCUUAUUAUCGAUAUACGCCUGCUUAUCAAUGAUAUGUUGCUCAGAUUAGUGUUGUCAUAGAACCUCGAAAUUAUGUGGAGGCCACUGCUCAUCCGGAGUGGCGAGCCUCAUGGGUUCUGAAUUGCAGGCUCUUCAGGCUAAUGGCACUUGGUCUGUCACUAAGCUUCCAAUGGGCAAGACACCGAUUGGUUGCAGAUGGGUGUAUAAAGUUAAACAUAGUUCUGAUGGCUUCAUUGAGAGAUAUAGAGCAUGCUUGUCGCCAAUGGUUUCACCCAGCUUGAAGGUGUUCAUUUUCAUGACACAUUUUCUCCAACAACCAAAAUCAUUACAGUCCGCUGCCUUCUUGCCUUGGCUGCUGCAAGGGUUUGGUCCCUUCAUCAAAUGGACGUCAACAACGCCUUUCUUCAUGGCGAUUUAAAUGAGGAAAUAUAUAUGUCUUCACCGCCAAGGCUUUGGCAACAGGGGGAGGAAGACUUGGUUUGUCGCCUCCACAAAUUAUUGUACAGCCUAAAACAAGCAUCUCGUCAAUGAUUCGUUAAGUUUUCAAAGGCCAUUCGCUCUGUCGGUCAUGUGUAGUCUCGGGCAGACUACUCCCUGUUACCAAAACACGACGCAAGUCUUUUACUGUCCUCUUAAUAUAUGUUGAUGAUAUAUUGAUUACUGGGAAUGAUCCUCGAAGCAUUGUUGCGACUAAAGAUUUCUUGCAUAGUCAUUUUCAUAUCAAAGAUCUUGGUGAUUUAAAAUAUUUUCUUGGCAUUAAGGUUUCUGCAUUUACAACUGGGAUUUUUAUUUCCCAACGUAAGUAUGCAUUGGAGAUUAUUGAGGAUGUAGGGUUGUUAGGCGCAACCCCUAUUGAUACACUGAUGGAGGGAGGAUUGAGAUUGUCUGAACAAGAGUGAUUUGCUCAAGGAUCAAGGUCGCUAUAGGAGGUUGGUAGGCAGGUUGAUUUAUUUGACUGUACCAAAGCCAAAUAUUACUUAUGUUGUCCAUGUGUUGAGUCGUUUUAUGCAUCAGCCAAGAAAAGCUUGGAAGCAGCACUUAGAGUUGUGCGUUACCUCAAAAAUGCACCAAGUCAAGGUAUCUUCUUCUCCUCCAAUAAUGAUCUCAGAUUGAGAGCUUUUUGUGAUUCGGAUUGGGCGGGUUGUCCACUUACUAGAUGAUCUACUUCGGUCUAUUGUGUAUUUCUUGGACCUUCACUAAUUGCUUCUUCUGUAUCAUUGUCAUUAGUAGAGGCAGAAUACCGUGUUAUGGCAGGAACCUGUUGUGAGUUGACUUGGUUGAGGUACUUACUUAAGGAUUUGGGUGUAGAGCAUCGAGAACCUGCUUCAUGACAUUGUGAUAACAAGGCAGCGCUACCUGUUUUCUAUGAGUGAACCAUACAUAUUGAGAUGGACUGCCAUUAUAUCAAGGAUAAAAUCCAAGAUGGAUCUGUGCUUACAAAGUUUGUAAGUUCUUCACAUCAGCUGGAAGACGUACUAAUCAAAGCUUUGGGGAAUGUGAUUUUUGUUCCUAUGAUUUGCAAGUUAGGAGUGCAUGAUAUCUACUCUCCAACUUGAGGGGAAGUGUAAGGAAAAUAUUUUGUAGUUGGAAAGGAUAUCAGAGUAUCAGCUAUGUUAGGAAUAUGAAUAUAUGUUUCCUAAAUCCUAAUACAAUGCUUGAUUGUGAUAGCGACCGAAACCGGGCGUUUCAAUUAAAAACCUUUUUGUGUCAAUUGUAGUAUAUAGCAAGGGUAUCGUUAUAAAAGCCGGGGAUUGAGGGUACCUUUACAAUUACGUUAAUUACAAAACAAGAGAAAAUAAAAUAUUAUAGUACUAGAGAGAUAUGGGGUUUUGUGAUUAUGAACAAAAGAAAAUAAAGAAACAAAAUAAAGCAGAAAAAAUCAGAUGAAUGAGAUGUUAGAGACUUGGAAAUCCACCACCAAGUAUGUUUCAAGACAUGUUAACAACCAAAGCUUCAAUCAUUAAGUCACAAAUCGGUAUCAAUCAAGAACAAACCGUGAACGCACUACGUAAGUCCUUAUUACUUCCCUUGAAUACUUAAGCAAAAUGAAUGCACCGUUACCAAGCCUUUAGAAUAACCAAUCAAGGUAUAGACGCUAUCUUAUCAACAAAUUAUUCUAAGCAUUAAGAUCAAUGGAAGUGAUUGAACAAGUAUGCAAAACUAGUGUGGAACGCCUACCUAGCAUGCAAUCCUUUUUAUUUGGUUUCACUUAUUGUCUUAUAGGUUUUACUACUUUAAACUAAGCCGUAUUAACCGUUUAGGAGAUUAAACAACCUAAUUCUAGCCCCACUCACAAGUUCAUAAUGUUCUAUGUUACGCAUACAUGAACAUAAACAAGCAAGAGUUCCCCAUAAACCAAAACCAAAUAAACAAUAUGUAAGACUUAAUAAUUUAAAACCAAGGUUCAAAACAAUAUAUAAAACAUUCUUGGGGCUUCAAACCUUGCCCUUAACUAAGAGAAUUCAACCACACAUGGUUGCAAAAUCACACAAGGAGAAUAAAAUAUGACAAAGGAAAGAUAAACCGUGGAUGAUGGAGAGAUCAAUGAUGGCUUGGUGGCUUCCUUGUGCGAGUCCGCAACUAUGGAGGUUCUGAUGAUGUGAGAUCACUGGCCUCCUUCUAGUCUUCAUGUCCCUCUCUCUCUUUUCUUAACGUCCUCCUUUUCUGCUGUGAUUAGGGUUAUAAACCCCUCAAAACUUAUUCAUGGGCUUGCCAAUGUGGUCUGGGCCUCAAAAUAGAAGUUUUGAUCCAAAUCAGAAACUCGGGCAGACUGACUUUCGGCCACUCAAACGGUCAUAGCUUCUUCUCCAAAAUAAAUAUUAGCGAUCCGUAAAAAGUUCUGGAAAGUAGACUCUUGUAGCUUUCCAUUGAUAUAUGGCACAUCUCCUGGAUCAUUGUGAGUUAAUCACAAUCUUCUGUCGAAGUUGACUGACGAUUUCUGGCAGAUUUUCUGAUUUAUUUUCUUGCACAAUAUGGAUUCCUUUUCCUUCAAAAUUUCUCCUCUUUUGUCUCUUUUAGGCUCCUCGGCUUUAUUUAUGACCUAAAAACACAAACUUAGUUAAUAUAAAUAUUGUUAAGGGAAUUACAUAACCAAAUAGGGUCAGAAAUACAUUAUAAACGUAACACUUUGUGCUCUAUCAAAUUGUAAGGUAGUUUCCUAGUUAGAAAUCACUGUAUCUUCUUUUCAUUGUAGGGUAGUUUCCUAGUCAGUUUCUGAUCAAGUAUAGGUGGUGCGUAAUUGUGGAUUAAGCAUAUAUAAGGGUGUGAAUAAACUAACAAACACUCUACUUCAGUUUAUAUACUCUCUUUAAAUUUUGGCUGGCAUCUACUUAUGUCAUAUAAAUAGUAGCUUGAGCUUCUGGUUCAGUUCGAGACUAGAUUAAAUAGUAAUAAAUCCAAUGAGGAACAAACCCCCAUAACUUUUGGCUGGCAAACUCUUUCUUUUGGUUCGGUUCUCAAUCAUCCAACUAACACUGCCCCAAACUAUGCAGUUUUCUUACCUCGUUGUUUGCAACACUCCAACUUUACGAACACUUUGUUUCCAAUCACAAACUUAGAGAGAUGCUUAUAUAAUAGUUACAUGAACUUAGUGUCUAAUAGGCCUGAUGCAGUUUGAAUAUGCAUUUCUUGCUGCUUCGCUUUUCUGUCUGAUAUCUUCAUACAUCUUCAAUGAUGCCUCAGAAAAUUUAGUCAGUCUAUCAAGAACCUUUGUCAAACUCGCGUGUAUGCAGCUCAGGUUAGAAGAUGAUUCUUCACAGUUCUCUUCAUCUUUGUUCUCCUCAUCUUCUUUGUUCUCUGAUUCUCCGUUGUUCGCAUCAGCUGCCCUCUGUCGUUUCUGUGUGGUUGCUUGUUGUUCCAUCAAAUGACGCAGGUCUGAUAAGAAUGUUCUGACUGCAUCAGUAACUUCAGUAGAUGGCAAUCCUCUGAUCCCAGCUGCCCAAUCACGAAAGAGAACAAAUAUAGGUGGGGCCAAAGCACGACGAGGAGAGAAUGCCCUUCUGCCUUUGGAACGCUCCUGAGGUUGCAUAAUGCAGUGUUGCAGCCAACCAUUCAGAGCUUCUACAUAUGAAGUAAGGCUGUUGAUCCAGUUUGCAAAGCUUAGUCCAAAGCAUUCAAUCUCCUCCAACAGUUGAGCCAUGAUCUGCCUGCGACCAUCUCCUAGGCAAGUUACUGUUGAGCUCUUUGAAUGAUAAGCGAGUGAGAUGGUAAUAUAUUGAGCAUGAUGGCAUUCAAGCAUGGCCUUCCACAUCCUGGUCAAUCUGCACAGAAACGCAAUUUAUGAAUUCUUGGUCACUACUACUGCUUUGAAACAAUUCAUAUGAACUUCAAUGGUUGGUUAUAAAUGACUUCAAGUGGCCAUGGGAAUCGUUUUCAAUCUGGCAUUAAGGAAACAAAAAGACCAUACUUACCCCUGAUUAAGUUCCAGAAGUUGUGGAAGCAAUUCAUCAUCCCUCAUUUUCUCAAUCCGCUUCGAGAUUGAAUUAACAGCAUGAAGUGCCACUCUUAUUCGUGAAUGUAGGUCUUUUACAGUUGCCCUGGUUUUAUCAAUAAUCUGACUGCUACAAUCCUUUGCAAAUUGAUUCCUAAGUUGAUCACACUUCACAUCAUACACCUUCCAGAUAGAUUCACUACCCUACAUGAGGAACCAAGACGUGAGAGGAAAUUCACAACUAUAAAAAUUAAAACGUCAAUGUUUCCAGCAAUCCAGUCCAUCCUUUUGCGAAAUUGAUUGUUUGAUGACCAAAAGGUCACAGAUCUUUUAAACCACGUGCAUUUAAAGCAAAAUGAGGAGCAUCUCAAAGAUUCGAAGUUUGGUUUGUGGGAAGAUGGAAUAGGAAAACAUGCAAAUCACUCACUAGAAGAGGAAACUUCGUAGCUAGCUUUUUAGAAUAUUCAUUACUGCAAGCAUCAGCAUCAAAGAAAAAAAGAGGACAAAGAUAUGAUUAAUAAAGCUUUGUAAGGUUUCUAUUACCAAUCAUCCACAUGACAUGGUCCUAUUAUACAAGGACUAAAACUCAAGCAACUGCUCAAUAAUCUCAGUUGUUUAAGAAUUUCUACCAACUUAUCUACUCUCUCUCUCUCUCUCUCUCAUCUUUAUAUUCCACCAGUAAGAGAUAAUGCAUUUGGACAUAAUGCAUAUACAUGAGUUCAUCAAUAUAUGUGAGGGGUUGGAAGAAUAUUCCUCUUCAUAUGUUACUUCAACAAUAAUGUGAAACUAGGAUGAUGUCAGGUGUCAGGUCUCUCUCUCUCUCUCUCUCUCUUUCUCUCUCUCUCUCUCUCUCAGUUAUACAUGUCAAAAUUAGCAUUUGUCCAUUGUUGUAGACACUAGUGUAAUAGUACUACAGUUAGAGACCAACUAAUGUUCUUACAGAUCAUUCCCAAGUGGAUGAUGUAUUCUCAAAUCUCAAUAUAGUAGCUUAAUUAUGAGCUGCCACAGCCAAUGCUGAUUAUAAGAAAAGAGCAGUGAUGCAAAAUUGUAGUCUUCCAUUGUUUUGGUCAACAAAUACAAAUUCGUGAAGGUAAUUGGAUCUCAGCAACACAUGAACUGAAAAUGUCUUAUUAUCUGGGACCAAAAAGAAUACUGUGUCUCAUUAUCACAGCUAUAAGCCCGGCAAAUUUACUAAAGGUAAAAGAUUUCAGGAUUCCAAUAAUUGUUGGCAGAGAGUAUGAGCCACCGUACUAUUACAUUCUUGAGGCAUCAACUGAAUUUAACUGUUGUAAAACAUUUCAAAUAUAUCAGAAAAGGAUUGAACCAUUCAUGUGUUUUAAUUUUAACUCAUUUCCUGACCAUGUCUCAUCACUUAGGCUCAUUCUUAAUUCAGUUUACUGGCAUUAAAACCAUAACAAGAAACAGUAUAUAUACUAAACAGUCUGCAGCAAAAUUCAUUCCCAACAUGCAUGAGAUGAGUCAUAACUCUUAUCAAAAUUAAUAACUACCUGCAAGAUGAUAGACAUUUGAUAUAUAUAACCCAGAUAGACAAUAAUAGACAUGCCAUGUCGACCUUCAACUUUCAAAACCUUCUUCCGAGCAAAAGUUGGUCCAAAGAAAAUGACACCAAUUUCAGCAGUAAAUAAAAACAUCUAUGAAAACAAGUUUAGCAGAAUCACCCCAGUUACAAGUAAAUCAUCUCUAAGCAACCCACCAGUGAUGCUGCAACAAUUUUUGCUUGAUUAGCAUUCACCUUCAAAACUCAGGAAGGUAUCAAGCAAGCAGAGCUUGAUAUUUUCAAGUCUAAGAACUAAUUGAAGUAGUACUAAAUGAAGCAAAAGCGACUAGCAAACACUCUGAAGGCAUAGUCCUAAAUGAUUAAUUUCAUGCGAAAAAGAAGGAAAAUCAAAUACUCUAGUUUGUUCCAUUUUCAGACAUACACCGACAAGAAAAACUAAAUCCCCUAUCAAGCUCAAUUCUCGCUGUAUCUGGCAUGGCAACACCAUGUUCAUGGUGGUCCAAAAGCACAACAUUUCUUUUUGGUCUUUAAUGUUUAUUAAGUGUUUGAGAUUCGAGCACAAGCACCAUGAAAAGCAUUCAGAGCAAGAGCCAGAGAUCAACAACAGAGACCUAGAUAUAAAAAUCUCUCUCUCUCUCNNNNNNNNNNNNNNNNNNNNUACUCUCUCUCUCUCUCUCUCUCUCUCUCUCUCUCUCUCUCUCUCUCAUCUAUACACACAAUUUGAACUAGGAUGUAUGUCAGGUGUGUAUGUAAGGAAUUGAAGUUUUAAGCACAAGAUACUAGGUACUCAAAACACAGUUCUGCAACAUGUGGAAUGAAAGGUUGAAAUAACACUUUUCAUAUAUUACGCCAAAACUAAUUUGGACCUUCAUGAUGUCAUAUUCAUAGUUAUUUGCUGAAUCCUGAUCUAUUAUAGCACGCAAGUCAUAUGGUAGUUCAUUUAAAGCAUACGGCAGUAGGUUAUAAUCAAGAGGUUCAAUAAGAUUUUGGAGCCAGCUUAUUCAUUAUUCACUCAGAUAAAGAAGCCUUGGUAAAAGUACCUUCACUUCAUCAUAUAGCUUUCUUUCCCAUGCAUACAGUCUAUCUAGAGUGGAGGAAUGACUUCCUGCAAUCAUACAGAACUCUUCAAUAAAAUCACUUCCACUGUCAUCACCAUCAUCUUUUGAUGCUCCAGCAAGGGGAUUCCUUGAUGACGAAGAUCUCGAAGAUGUUGUUCGCUUCCAAGUAAUCACUUUGGUAACAUGUUCAGGUUCUACAAGAACAUUAAAUUCUCAAAUUAUGGUCAAGAUUGUAGACACACUGUAAAAUGCAGGCAGAAUGAGGCUUUCAUUUAUUUGGCAGAAUGUAUGUACAAACAAGAUAAUAUAUGUAAAUCAAACGACUAUGCAAUCUAUUCCACGCAACAAAUCAAAAUUAAAUGGAUCCGCUGUGUUUAUCUGCUACUUUUUACCAAACAUAAAACUCCUAGCCUUGACAAAAAGAAGUUUGACUUCCAAGAAGUGGUGAAUCAAUGACAUAUUCCAUUGAACUGUUGCAUCCCAAAUUAGCUUGUGAAGUAAAUCAAUUGCUACAACUCACCACUAGAAACAAGUGAAGACUUUCCCUGGCAACAAACAAGCUGGAACGUCCCAAGAAGAGCCAGCCCUGAUGACCUACCUACAAAAUUGAAUAUAAUGGUUCAUGAACCAAAACAGAAGUUAAAAAUGAAGAAAUCUAAAAUUACUACUGGCAUGAAUACAAAACAAUUUAAAGCUCUGCAUCAAAUUCAGAUCUUUAAGCUCUGCAUUCUUACAAGGAUUACCUUUUGCCUCUGAAUAUCCAACCCUGAUUUUAUUUGACUCAAGCAUCCUUGAGACCUCUCUCCCAGAUUCCGAAGCUCUGAAAAAACGAUUCUCAAUAUCCUUUAUGCUUGAAAGAAAGUCUUUAGCUCUGUGGGUAAUAAAUUCUGAAGGGUCCUCUCUCUCAUCACAUAAAUCCUUCUCUCCUACACUCCUCUCCCUCCUUGAAGCCUCAUUGCCAUUUCGUCGUCCCACCACUAACUGUCUGGACUCACCAUCAACUCCUUCCGAGCUCACUCUAUUGGCAUUAUGCUCUUCACUUCCAUUUCGAGUCACCACAUCACCACUCACUUCACCACUCCCUUUCUCCAACAUCUUACCUCCUUCAUCAAAUUCAUUACUAUGAUUACCUUCCUCACUCCUCAUCUGUCUCCACCCUUUAAUAUCAUCACAAUUCACAUCCACUCCACUACUCCCCACAAACCUAAAGCUCUCACUCUCUUCAGCAUCAACAGGAUCAAAGUAAUCCCAAGAAGAAUCAGGCGGCGGUGGCGGCAAUGGGAUGUCCUCAUCCACAUAGCUACUACUAACCGGGUUGAACCUCAUAGUCACAGCAGCACCACCUCCUCCUGACCUCAUGUAACUCAAUGUCGCCACCCCCGGAGGCGAAAUGGGCCUCUCAUUGUGCAAUGGGGAGCCCGAAAUCUUCGGGGACGGCGACGGAGAAGGGUAGGAGGAAUGUGAUGGGGUCUUGUCUGAAGUGCACAGAGAAGACUCUAUCAACACCUCAGCCUCAGCAUAACGCCGGAGAGCAAUGCCAAUGGUUCGAAGUGAGUUGGUAUAAGAGACAUGAGAAGCAGCUAAUGCAUACCUUGAAUCGAUUGCUUGCUUGAUGAACCUCUUGCGCUCUCUACAAAGACUCAAAGCUGCGUCCUUUUCGGUCUUAGAGUUUGCAAUACCCAUUUUUGAACACAAAUUUAGGGACCCAGUUCAUGAAAAUAACCUCAGUUGCUUUGUAAAACCAAAAACUAACCCAAAUUUUUCACUGGAAACUGAAAUCCCAGCUCAACUGGAAUAAGAAACCAAGAAAAAACCUUUCUUUAAACCCUAAACCCUGAAUUAGUGAUCAGAGGAAAACAGAAGCACAGCUUCAAAAUGGGAUAUGGGUUUUGCAGGAAACUGAAAACCCAGAUGGGGAAGAGCUUGGUUUGGAGGACCCAGAAGGCAGAAAUGGCUAAACUUGGUUACAGAGCAAAGCUGAGAGACUAUGGGGUUUCACACAGAGACAGAGAGCAAAACAGAGAAGGGGGAGGAGUAGUUGCUAUCUGGCUUUCAUGGAAGAAAGAGAGAGCAGCAGAACAAAGCAGUGUCGAGUGGUUGGAGAGUCAUAAAGGAAAGAUCCAUUAACAUAAGAAAGGUUGAAACUUGAAAGCAAUCAAUGUGAAGCAGUGAAGCUGAUACCUUUUUCUUUCUUCUGAUACAAAGAUUUUGGCCAAAACUGAUAUUGAAAUGAUGAAAGGAGCCAAAUAUUACCACAAUCAAUGUGAAAAAAAAAAAAAAGGCACAAGAGAAGAGAAGAGCAAAAGGAGCCUCGUAGUUCGUGUCUGAUAUUUUUUCCACAAUAUAUAUAUAUAUAUAUAUAUAUAUAUAUGUCAAUAAAUUUGAGAGGACCCUGCUUCUGUUUUUCUUUUUUCUUUUUUGGUGAUUAGAUUUGAGAGAUGGUUUGGUUGUGAGUACGGCGGAGGAGGAGGAGGUUGAAGAUCACACCAUCAACGCUGCGUUAACCAAAACCGGAGGAGAGAGAGAUAGCAGUGGAGGCAAGUGUUGGGUGUGUCAGAAGCUCAGCAUGUUGGAAAUGGUGAGAGGAUGACUGAAUUGCCCUUGAGCUAUUCUUUCACGAGAGACGACGCUCUAACGGCUCCUUGAUAUGCGCUUGUUGGCAAUUAUUUGGUCUUUCUUCUUCUGCACAGAAAAUGAGUCGACUUUCUUUUCUCAUAUGGGGACUCCCACUCUGUUUUUUCCGUUAAUUCUUUUGGAAAAAUGUCUUGAGAAUUUGUAUAGAAUCGUUUUGUAGAAACAUUUUCCUUCAUGAUAAAAGAUUAAAAGGACAAAGUGAAGUUGUUUGCUCAAACUUUGGCAAAAGUCAGACUUAUAAGAAAAAUUGACAAUAGAAUACAACAUUAGCAUGUUCGACAGAUAUCUAUAUGUUUAGUAGUUUUCGUCAUCAAAAAAUAAGUUAGUCGGUUAGUUGACUAAAAGAAAAUUCUUAGAUAAUUAUAGUUAAAACUUAUAAACACUCGUAUGAGUAAGAUGUGACACACCAAAUUGUUAAAUGUUUGUUUUUUUUUUUUACGUUUUCUUCAAAAUAUCCAUAUUAUAUGAUGUGAUGAUUCAAAUUUCAAAUUUAGAUAUACAUUAUCAAAGUCAAAUUUGGGAAAUAUACUUCUGGAUUGCCUUUUAACUUUCAGUAUGGAGGUAAAUGUCUCUAGUCUCAAAUCUAAGACCACAUUUUAACCUUCAUUAUUUUCAACCCACCACAUUUUCCUAGUUUAACAUUAUUGGAUGACCUUUUUUCUUCAUCUGUGAAUGUUCAAAGGGAAAUCAGUAAAUGUGGACUGUUUUGGAAAUUUGCAGGUGGGUUGUGAAAUGCUCUGCAAUAUUAGUACCCAAUCUGCAGUGGAAGUGGGACUAUGACAGUGGUGGCACCACUCCGGUACUCCAACAGUUGAGCCUUAUGCAUUGAAAAGGAGAAGGGAACCUGGAUCGAGUGGCUGAAUAUUCUUUUCUCUUCUUUUUCAAUUUCUUAUUUCUUAUAUUUUUCUGUCUAAACCUCUGGUUGAAUCCGGUUGAAUCUUCCAGUAUAUGCAAGUUUCAUAUAGUAUUCAACUUUGAGCUGUAUGGGAUUCUAUAAACUAAUCAAAGGGGGGUGACAAUCUUUCAUGGGCAACGGAUCUUUUCGAUAGAGGAAUGCAUGUUUUGUUGAGGCGGAGAGAUCUAGUAAUAUAAGACUAUGUAGCUAAUCAUUUCUUUAUUAACUGUAUCUUAGUUUAUUAAUGGUGUUAAGCAAAUACCAAUUAAAAAUGUACUGGUAAUUUAUCAGAAGAGUCAAAAGGAAUAGCUGUAUGCCUGUACUGGAAUGGGUACUUCAGCCUGUAGGUGCCUCAAAGCUGAAAAAUCUGGUUCAAAAUCACCCUCCACUAAUAUUGGUAUAUGAUAAAAGGCAAAAAUGUCAUAAAUAAGGGCAGCACAUCACCUGUGCCCAAAAAUCCUAUACCAAACAUGUGCCACCAACUAGAAUUUGACAUGUCAUCGCUAGCCUAACACCUCAAUAACUCUGUUAACUCUAAUCUUAUUUUUAAUUUUGAAAAAAUAUUUUUCUCUUAUUCUCUAUAUUUCUCGUGAAUCAAUCUCAGAACUGGCUUCUCAAUUUUUCAAAAAUUUCUCCCACUGAAAUCAACUUCCUCCUCCGUCCUUUGAUGAGGCCAAAAGAGACGAAAAAAUUGGGAUUGAAAUCCGCAGCAAGUUUUGGAUUGAAAUAAAUCAAAACCAAAUUAAAUGUUGAAAGUUGUCAUCAGGGUGUAGAAGAAGACCCAACAGAGAAAUUCUUAUCAGGGUGUUGCUGGGUUUGUUGCAGUCUUGCAGAGGUGUAGAGAUUAACCUAUUUUCAGCAAUAAAAAUCAGCAAGUAAUAACAACCCCAGUAAGUGAAAGGAAAAGAAAACUAGAAACAUCGUCAGGGAUAUCAAUCAAUCUUGUUAAAUCUGAAAAUAAUCCAAAUUCAUCUUCACUGACGAAUUGGAAAAACAAGAGAGAGGAAAUUGGGAAAUAGAACUGUGGGUAAGGCAACAAAUAUAAUAUAAUGAUGUUACCUAUUGGAAUUUAGGUCAUGACAGAGUUGCAGAGGGAAGAAGAUAGAAAUGAUGAGAAGAAGAAUAUGCAAUGAUGUUAUCUAUUGGAAUUUAGGUCAUGACAGAGUUGCAGAGGGAAGAAGAUAGAAAUGAUGAGAAGAAGAAUAUGCAUCUGACGAUGAACAUGGUAGAGGAACACUUGGAUGAAACAUUAAUAAUCAAUAAGUUAUAUUUAUUUUGUUAAGAAAAAAGCUGGAAAAUAAAUGACUUAACGGUGUGAACUUCUGUCAAAGUCGAUGGACAGGUGUCAAAAUCUAGUUGGUGGAACAGGUUUGGCACAUUAGUUUUUCGGUACAAAUGAUUUACUUCCGGAAAUAUGGAUUGCAGUGGUCAUUUGUGACUGGGUUGUAAAUAUGGGACAUAACACAAUGGAGGUUCUUUUUCUUCUUUAGGCUGGUUUGGUAGAAAUUUCCAUUUGUAUACAUUUUAAUUCAUAUUUAUCUUCAUCUACUUUUUGGUAGCCAUCCCCAUGAAUACAAUUCACUAUAGGUUCUUUAGGGUAAAGAUAAAGGGAGAAAGCAAAGAGGUGGCAUUAUUGAUGCGAUUUUCAUGUGCUUUGGGUAAUCUACCUUUUGAUUUUCCUUCAUCGUCUUUCUUUUCUCUAUCUUUUCUUUUUGGUUUUGCUUAGAUUUUUCAGCAAUGACAUAAGAUUAGGAUGACAUAUAUUUUCAAGAUUGGGCGUAUUAUCGACGAUUAUAAGUCAUAUUUUACUUCUUUUAUUCAUCUUAGUGUCGAUAUAUACUUCAUGAAGCAAAUGGUGUUACUCGUAUGUUAGUGUACUGUGCAACUAAUUAUUUGGAACUCUAAAGGCAUGUGUUAGUUUUAGGAAUGAAACAAAAAGGCAUAAUCAAAGUCGUCAUUUUCUCUCUUCUCUGCUAGGGUUUUCUUAGCCGAGAAAAUGACUGAGAUGGCGGCGGCGUCAUGAAGAUUGUUGUUGUGGAAGUGUCACACCCCAAACCCAGUGUCGGUGGUUUCCAAGUACUUAACACCGAAUCUGAGGCGUAAGCGGGAAAAGUAAAAGAAAGUUAUACAAAUUCAAAUAUUUUUCUAGAAAUUGUUUAAAACAAAACAAAUUGUAAUAACAAAACAAUUACAGAGAUAAAACUGAUCUUGCGGUCUCUCUCACUUCUAAUCUUCUGUAACUCUUUUCUACUCUUGUACACGUCAACUAAACUUCACAGUUAGACUUCUCAAAGACGUGUCUCGUAGUACAUGAACAAGAAUCUAUAGGGGUGAGCUUACGCUCAGUAGGCCAAACAUUUUUAGGUUAUACUACUUAACUAUGUAACACAAUCAAGUUCUCAACCAAUACUUUACAAAUAAAACGACAAUUCGAUGCAUGUAUGCUAAUGAAUGUCUUCCUCAAUUACUGGCUAAUCAGUCCAUACAUCAAAGACAAGUGAGCCUACACGUCCCAUACCAUGUAUUUUACUAACCGGGGAUGACUCAGAUGUCUCGAAUAUAUGAUCUAACAAUCAGUAAUAUUUCACCACAUGUACCUUUUUUGUUAGUCAUCUUGUUAUACUCAUGGUCUCCAAACCCGAAACCCGAUAAGAUCAUUUUAUCGAUGUCCGCCAUCGAAGAGGCAUACUUACCUCGAACUUGUGCACGUGUGGGCUACCCUAGAUCUUGGACAACCCAUGAGGAAACUCAACUACUAAAAUGUAUUUAUACCAUCAAUCUCAUUCACAUCUCCAGAAUCACCAAUCUCACUUAUCUCACAAUUCCCCACAAUGCAAUAUAUAUGCCAAUGAAUAUCAAUACUCGCAUUUCAAUAUCGAACACAUGCUUUUAUGGAAAGCGAUAACAACAAUCAUACAACUCAACAGUUACACAUGCUUUUAUGAAAAACAGUAACAUCCAAGAGUUAAUCACUCAAUGGCACAUAAAUCAACGAUUUUAAUUAUAAUCUAAUUAUCAAUUUUAAAUAAAAAUUUCCCAAGAAAAACCCUACCUGGAAUCCAAAGCGUUACUUCCGACGCUAGCUAAAAAACCAGUAACUCGGCGACUUGCUUCUGAAAUCUUUAUCCUUUUGCUUCUGGAAUUGCAACGUGCCUCCAAUCCUCAUAUCAAACUCUUAUUCGAGAAAGUAGACGAAUCACGUCAAGUCAAAGCGAUCGAGUCCUCGUUUGCAAAGGACACCCAAAGUACGUCUCCACCAAAUUCUCUACACGUACGAUUAGAGUCGAUAAUGUCAUUAUAUGACUUAUAUCUCAAUUGCACUCCAAACACCACUCCAACUUGAAAUUGAAUUUAAUCUACACUUCUGAAAUUACUCUGGACACCUAGAAUCUUUAUCAACCAAAUCCUACAUCCAAUCUCACAAUUAUAAACAUUUCCUUCCAACUCAAGUUUCAAUCAACUUCCAUAUGCCUAACCAGCAUUCCAAAAACGUCAUAGCAUCAAUGCUGCAUUUCGGCAACUCUACUACAUGAACUAAACACUGCAUUUUGAUGAGCUCUCAUAUCAACAUAACAUAUAGCUCAAUCUCUUGGAUUCAAGUUUAACAGUAACUAAUGAUUAUGUCAAGAUCAAAUAGACUGAUCAAAACACAAAACCACUGCUCACAGUAAACCUGAAGCACGUCAAAGUCCAAUAUUUCAAUUAUGAAACCAACAUUAACUUACUAUUCUAAACCCAAACUACUAUGAACCUUCCAAUCAUCCUCUUCGAUUCUCUCCUAUUCUGACAUUCAAUCAUUAUCAACACCAAAUCAUGAUCCUGCAAUUUCACACAAACACCAUAACACUACCACCACCACUGAUCAGCCGUGCACAAUAGCUGCACAAACUGCCCAAAAUCUCAAAUUCUUCAAAACCCCACUAAUAUCAAAAUCAAGCAUCUCAGAUCACUUCAUCAAUUCCAUAUAUUAAUUCGAAAGCUAGAAACUACAAAAACAAUCACCACCACCGCCAUUGACCCGCCGUGCACAGCAACCACCACCUUUGCCCAAAACCUCACUUUCUCCAAACCUCAGUCAAUCUCGAAUUCAAGUAUACAGAGAGAUAAAGCUUGAAGAAUAGAGCAACUUUGAUACCUGAACUGAAUUCGAAGCUCGCCGAAAAAUGAAGAACAACGCCGGAAAACUCCUUAUGCUUCACCCAAUCGAUUCUCACUCAUGGAGGCUCCUCUAAAGAAAUUGAGACCACAAAGAUGUUCAGGAAGUUGAGACGAAGCUACUAGCACCAACCUUUCUGGCCAUCGUGUACGGAGUCAGAAACUGCUCGGAAAACCCUAAAAGUUUAUCUCCUUCGAUUCUCUCUCUCCUCAGCUUUCCAUAGAAAUCCAAUACCACAGCGACGUCAGGGAGGACGAGAUGAAGCCGUAGACACUAGCCAUGUGGGAGGCGGCCAGACGACAGAGGGAGAUGUUGAGCUCCGUCACAGCUUGGGGUGAUGUCGUGGUUGGUCUGGGUCGAACUGAUCCACUCCGAUAUAUAUUUUUGAAUCAACGGCCGAGAUUAAACAGUCUAAAGAUCAAUGGCCCAAAUUCAACAGCCUUUGAUUUUCUAUUUUUAAAUAAUAUCAAACUUCCAAAAAUCAUUAAAAAUAGCUCCAAUGUUCGACAUCGCUUCAGUAAAAUCCUACGAACUCGUAAUUAACGACGUCUAGUUUAACCGUAUAGGCUCGAAAGAUAAAUUUUGACAAACUAAAAAAUUGAAUAAUUUUCGUAAACUACUAAGAAUAAUAGAAAUUAAAAUAAAAACAGCUAGAAAAAUACUUUCUUUUAAAAAUAGAAAACCAAAUUUUUGAGAUGUUACAGGAAGUGUGCGAUCGAGCCUGUGAGGCUUUUACCUGUGCGGGCGUUUUCUUUCUCCAAAGAGACCCAUUGUGGUUUCGUUGCUCACGGCAACACUCUCCAAUAUAUGGGGGAUAAAGGAGCGAAUCUUGAUCCUGGAAGAGAACGCUAGAACAUUUAUUUUCCAUUUCAAGGAUGAGGCUGUUAAGAAUCGAGUUUUGAAUGAUGGGUCGUGGCAUUUCAACGGCUCGAUGAUAAUGAUGGCACCCUACGACGUCGUCGGCCCCUUGGAAGCAGUGGACCUCAAUUAGAUGGCGGUUUGGGUGGUUAUUAAGGGUCUGAGGAUGACCAUGAGGAAUGAGCGAGCACUCACCCUCUUUGGUCACUUUUGAUCGCGUCGACCCUACGGCGGUGCAACGCACAUAACUAGUUCAAAAUAAAGGUUCCCAUCAUCCAUGAAGUCCGUUGGCGAAUUUGGGCAAAGAGAUUGUACGAGUUUUCGUCGGUAGUCAAAGUGUUGCUGGAACUUCAAUACAAAAAAUGUCAUGGUAUUUGUCCGGAUGGUGGUUUGUUCAAUUUGGCUAUGAGACCCGAGAGUGUGAUGAGCGGCUAUUGGAGCCACCAGAGCUGGUGAUGGUUGGGUCGCGGGGGCUUAAGUAGAACUGAGAGUGAACAAAAAAGGUUAUCAAUCAAAUGUGUAAGGAAAAAACAGAAAGUCUAAGCGACUCUUGUCCUCUAACCACCCCCCCCCCCCCCCCCCUUGCUGGAACAUGUGAUUUGUGUAUGCUCUUGCUUCCAAUCAGGUGAACCUUCCUCUUAUAAGUCACCUACCCAACAAAUCUUUCACCUGAGACCUCAACAAGCUUGCCAAGAUGCAACAGAAAGACCCUUGUUUUAGCAGUAAACCCAACUUUAGGCCCAUCUGCAAGCUCAAGAGACCCAAUCCUUUCUGCCACAUCUAGGCCCAAAUCAUAGUCCAUGUGCAAUCGCAGCCCAAGCAUGUAGAAUAUCGUUAGGCCUCGUUUGUUUCACGAAAAGUAGACAUUAGGAAAUGAAAGUUGUUCCUUUCUUGCAUUUGGGAAAACAGAAGGAAAGGAAACACUAUUCUGAUUGAAGGGAAAAUGUGGGGGAAAGUGGUUCCUUCCAAAUCCAAAGGAACUAUUUUAAUUCCUUCUUUCCCUGCAUUUAUUACUCACAACCUAAUAUUUUAUUAUUAUAAUUAUCAACUUUCCUGAUGACUUUUCUUGUAUUACCAAACAUCGAAACGAAAAGUUCAUACCAAAUUUCAUUCCCGUUCACUUUCCCUUCCUAUGGGAAAGAUAAAGAAACUACUUUUCCUUCCACUAGCCAAACGAGGCCUAAGUUCAGAGGGUUUCAUUUUCACACCUUUUUCAGACCACCUUCUGCCUUCAUCCCGACUUGUUGCCUAGACUCCGUCACGACCUACUUCCUAAUUGUCGACAUCGUCCCGAUCCCGGCCAUCGACACUCCAGCAGGCGAGCCGACUCUAACCUCACCAACAGGUCGUGGACUUCUGCUUCGACAUAGAGGCAAUCUCUGCCUCCAAAUCAAAUCCAGACCCUGUCAGCACUAAAGUCAACAACGAGUCCUCCGUUUUUGGACCCAACGCUAGCCACGCCUCCAAUUACAUCUCCACCUUCUGGUCGCAACCACCAUCACCAUGGCCAAACAAACCGCAAGCCAUGCACAAGCCAUGGCAUGCAUAUGUCAUACUAGAGGUUCAACACCAACAACAGCUCCAAUGAAAACUCGAACCUCCACCACCUCAAACAACACCGACGGAUAUCCAGUCUUACCCAGACUGGGUCACCUCUUUGCCUGCACAACCUCCAGAUCGACAUGAAAGAACUCCCUUAGUGUUCGACCAAUUAAUUGAGGUGAGGGAUUUUUCGUUCGUCAUAAUACUCAACCCCGUCACCACCACCGCCACCCACACCUCCAGGAGAUGCAGCGAGAUCGAAUUAAGAGAAGAUACUCCAUCAUAGGCCACCAUUAACAUGGAGUUAUUGUAGAACCACGAACCAUUGGACAUAACACAGUUUCUAACCUACAAAUCCUUGAAUUGGAAGCUAGAGAAGCACAACGUCCUCCUCUUGUCGAACCAGAAUCUUUUCCUUCAAACCCCAUAUGUUGGAGAUUGCCGUCGAAAGUGACAAAAGAGGCCCCAACCACAGAGGUUAAAAGAAAGAAUUAUGGAUUGCUUUCUCACCAUUAACCAACCUUACAACGGCUUCGGCCUAAACAGAGGCCAUUGCGGCCGUCAUCUUGAGAUCUCAAUCAAUAGGCUAGUGGCAAACUCUAGCAGAGCCAAUUUGACAAAAAAAUCACUUUCAUAUUUAGGGGGUGCAUGAAAGUGACCAUCAAAGCCGCAAUGCAUGCACCCCAAAUAUGAAAGUGGUUUUUUUAUCGAAUUGUCUAUGCUAGAGUUUGCCACUAGCCUAUUGAUUGAGAUCUCAAGAUAACGGCCGCAAAGUUGCAAUACUUUCUCUGAUAUCAUCAAUGAGUUCAGCCCCUGGAGUGUGCAGAACGCCAUUUUUAACUUAUAUAUAGCAAAGGAACUAAUGGGAUCUGGAUAAUAUAUAGUGACAAUAUAUUUAAUUGGCUAACCUUUAGAAUUAGUAUGCCAACGAUGAGUAGCCCUAACAAUAAAGGUCUUGGAGUAAACCCUAACCUUGAGAUUUAAGAAACGUCCACGUACAAUAAGGAGUGUUUUGUUCAAAAUAUAUGAGAAGUGUAAAAUGAAGAUCGUGGAGGUGACAUGGAGGGCUGGAGCAUCAUCCCGCCCACACCCGCCAGUCCGCCACCAUCAGUCCAUCACUUUCUGGGUGUGCGCAGCAAUUUCUUACGCAGAUAUGGUUUGAAUUCGACUGACCACAUCGAAGUUCGUUUCAGUCUUUUUGGCCGGUGACUGGCUAUGAUGAUGCAAUCUUCUUAAUUUACAUUCAUCGAUAUCGCGAUCCUCGAGCUCUUGUUAGUUUGAUCUAGAUCUUUCAUCUCUUGAUUCUCUUCCACAUGAAUAUACUUCAUCGAUCGGUAACAAUUAUUUAGUCAAUAUUGGAAAGAAUGAGUUGCUUGCAAGCACCAAGUACACCCAUGUGUCUCACAUGCAUGCAACACCCUUGUAAAAUAUGCAACAAAUUUAGCAACCUAGGUAGCUAGCACCCAUAUAUAGUAAUUCCUACUGAAUCAUUAGCAAUUCCUGGAAAUCCUCAGAAUCUUCCAAAUCUUCACUUAACCUCGUGAAUUGAAUUGUCAUCUUUCCUCCGCCGACUUCACAUUUAUGUUCUCCCGCCCACCGCCACUGGAUUUGGUUUCGGGUAUUAAUAUUUACUUGGGGAAUGGCGGGGGAUGCUAUAGAGGACAUAGCUAUUCACACAAUUAAUAACUGAAUCAAUUAGUCAUGGUAGAGAUCGUUGAAGAAGUUGAUCAUCUAAGCUUGGAGGAUGAAGAAGCUGAAGAUAUCAGUUACGAGGAGCUCAAGAAGCGAAUGUGGAAGGAUCGUGUGCGCUUAGAGAAGUUUAAGGAAAUACGAAAAAGUGAAGAACCCGUGUCUUUGGCGAAAGAAGAGGCGUCUCGCCGGAAGAAGAUGGCUAGAGCUCAAGAUUCCAUACUCAAAUACAUGGUGAAGAUCAUGGAAGUGUGCGAAGCACGAGGCUUCGUCUAUGGGAUCGUUCCGAAGAAGGGGAAGCCGGUGACAGGAUCGUCGGAUAGCUUACGAGAGUGGUGGAAAGACAACGUCCAGUUCGACCAGAACGCUCCACUUGCAAUUUCCAAGUAUCUACCAGAAGUGCUUUUGGAACAAGCAUGUUCUAGUGGGCUGGAUCAAGACAACUCUUAUGUCCAUCUCCUUCAUGACUUGCAAGACACGACUCUGGGGUCGCUGCUUUCGGCUCUAAUGCAACACUGCAUACCUCCACAGAGGCGGUUUCCUUUGGAGAAAGGUUUGGCUCCACCGUGGUGGCCCAAGGGAAAUGAGAUAUGGUGGGGCGACCAAGGGGUUUCUCAAGAGCAUGGACCUCCUCCUUAUAGGAAACCUCAUGAUCUCAAAAAGGCUUGGAAAGUAAGUGCUUUGGCUGCAGUGAUUAAGCAUAUGGUUCCUAAUAUGGACAGGGUUAGAAGGCUAGUAAGGCAAUCCAAGUCCUUGCAGGAUAAAAUGACUGCUAAGGAGGCCGCGAUUUGGUCCAAAGUGGUUAACCAAGAAGAAGCAAUUCUCCAACUUAGUACUGAUGAUAAGAAACCAAUCAUUAGCUGCCCUGUAAACGAUGGCACCAUGGUCUUACAUGCUAACGAAUAGAGAAAGUGUAUGUUUGAUGAUGAUGAUGGCUCUGAAUUGGAUGCUCCAGUACAUGUCUUCCCAAAAACUUCAAACAGUGAAUGGGCUUUAGGCUUUGUGGAUAAGAAAUCGAGGGCAAGCCAUAACGGAAAGAAUGUUUCUGAUACAACAGUGCGGGUUGACACAAGUUGCUCGUAUGAUCACUCCCCAAUUGAUUCAGAAUUCGAAAGUGUGGUGGACUGGAUUAAUAUGGAGCUACAAAAGGCCAGUGUAAACGAAGCUGGUGAAGUGGUGUCUGGUUGUCCAAGUGCAUAUUGGGAAGGUGUUAUGGAAGAUUCAGCUUUGGAUGCAGCAUUUGAGAUUCAAAGGGAAAACAUGGAUUUAAAUCUAUAUCCAGACGAAGGGAUAUCACAGAUGAAUCAAGAACCAACUUCAAUUUGGGACUUGGGAUAUGAUUAUAACGAUGCAAACUUGUAAUGUCAAAUAGCAAAACCUAUUGUUCACAAUUUCUUGUUGCUAUGUUUUACUAAACCUUUUCUGUACCACUCACAUUUAUGAUCUUAUUUACAUCUGGAUUAAUUCUUUUGUUUACGUAUUGAGAAAAAAUUUACUCUUUCUAUUAGUGAUGUCGUCUAUAUUGUAAUAUUCUAUAAAGGUUAGUAAGGUCAGUGGAAAUAUUAUACAUUUCUACCUCCUUAGUCCUUACACCGUAAAAGCUUCACUGGUUACAUGAAUGUUGCUAGUUCCCUAUUUUGUUCAAUUGUUAAAUCUUCUUUCACUACAAAAAAGCCAGAAAAAUGUACGAAGCAAAAAAGAAGGGUGGGUAAGUAUUCCUAACAUCCCUAAUGCAAUGUACAAUACUUUGAGUGAACGAUCUGAUGUUUCUAUUAGAAGUCAUAGAAGCUGUGUCUUUGUGGCAUGCAGUCAUCAAAUUCGAAUCUUGGAGCAGCACACGAAUAACCCUUUCUGAAUCUGUUGCCUUUGUUCCUAAUUAGGUUCACUUCAACUGAAAACACAGCACAAACAGGUCUGUGAUCGGAGAACCUCGAUUCACCCCGAAUAUAGGACAACUGUUCAAAACCUUCACCGCGCCAUAGUAUCCUAUCACACCUGUAAAUUUAUCUUGUUAGAAAAGGCCUAAUAAUCAAAAUUGAAUGUAAAACUAGGGGUUAACAGAACUUUCAUUCAGGGAGAAGGAUAUGUAUAUAUACCAUGCAGGGGUUCGUCGUUUCUUCUUCGACUUGGAAGUUUCUCCUGCGUAAGAAUCUGAAUUAUGGGAAUACUUGUAAGUGGGGGCAAAGUAGAUUUGUCCCUCUUGAAACCCGUUAAAUACUCUCCCAGCUUCUCUCUCUAUAUUCAACUGUAUUCAUAAAUCAAACCAGAUCAUGUAAUAAGUGAAUCGUAUUUAAAUUAACAACUAAUAUUUUGGAUGAUUAAAUUUGAAGUUAAUCAUUCAUCUAGCUAGGAUGGUGAAUUAACAGAACAAACCUGAUCUUUCUCAAGAAGUGCAUCCCAAUCAUUGUCCUCCAACAAAACCCUUGUUUCUUCGUAGCUCAAAGCCACACGAUAAUUCAAAUCUCCAAGCCAUAUUACCCGACUGCAAAAGUUUCAUUAAUGAGAAGAACACAAUUCAUAAGUAACAAACUGAACCAUGAUAGUGAGUAACAAAAAUGGUGGGAAAUUAAAAUAACUCAGAAAACAGGUAAAACAUACUCGUGGUCAGCUAUUUUUUCGCAAGGAAGACGAUUUGGAUUCUUGCAAAUCUUGGGGAAUUGUGUGGCCUUAAGUAUCUCCACCACAUCAGCAUUCCUCUUCAGCUCAUCGCCUUCCUUCUCGCCGGAAGCCAAGUGACUGCACACAAAACAAAAGCUUGUUUGGUGCAACGUCAUGCUUAUCGAUAUGCAUCCCUGCAAAAAUAAUCAAGUCACCGUUCAAAUAUAGAGUUAUUUAAAGGGUUUAUUUAAAUUAUCUUUAUAUGAACCACAUUUAGUCAUUUACUGAUACUGAUCAUCAGUAAAAUGAUUUAGCUCGUCAUAAACGUACAAGACACAAGAAUCUCAGGUUUUACUUACCUUGUUUCCUAGGUAACCCAUUAUUCCUCUUCCUACAGUAGAGACUCUAAGAUGGCCAACGUGUUUUACCAACUCUCUUCGAACCCAAACUGAUACGAAAAUCCCCACCAUCUUCUUGCUUGUUAGAAGAGAGUAACUCAUCUCGUUUGAGGAAGGCGGUGAUUCUAACCCUGCAGUUUCAAGAAAUUCGUCUACCCUACCAUCACAAGAACCAUUAGAGGAGUCUAGUUUAUUGAGUGGAUCACUGAGUUUUCUUAGCCGCCGCCUUUCAUGAGAUGGAAAUUCAAAGGGGCAGUUGCAAGACUUGAGAAUUCUACUGUCUGCCUUGAAGCUUUUGCUGAUAACUUUGAGGGAAGGCUUUUGGAAAAAGUUGAGACUGUUAUGUGAUGACUUGGUGGAACCAUGACCCGAAGAAUCUGAAGAACAAAAGGCGCAAGAAUUUUGGGGUUUAUUUAGGGCUUGGCUUAUAAGGGUUAGCCAUUUUGCAGCUGGUUCGUUGUCCUCGAUCACUAGAACGUUUCCAGCACUUAGAGGUACGAUUUCCUGAAAUCUAAUGAAGAAAAUUUCAGUGUUAGUGAACAUUCGAUAUCGAAAACCAAAAUCAAUUUCAGUGUAUAUGACUUCGUUACAAAUAACUAAGAAUCAUACCCUAACACAUAGAUAUCUGAAGAGCCUUCAACCUGCAAGAAAUCUUCAAGGUUGAGGCCAUUGUUGGGAGACUUUCCUCCCACAUUCCAUGUCGCCACGAAUAUCCUGCACCCGAAUCACACCCGUUCUUAUGUUCAAUUCAAUUAAACCAAAUUCUGAACUUUAUAUGUAAACUUUCUCUUAUGACAAGGAUCAUUACCUGAAUUCUUUAGUCUCAGUUGAUGGCAACAUAGAGUGUUGUUCAAAGUUUGAUAAGUUUAGGCUUUGAAUCCCUGGACUUGAUUGUCUUUCUGCGAGUAGAGAAGAAAAGGUCACCAUUGUUAUUUCUCUUACCAAGCAAAGGCCUAACUUCUUAGAGUCAAAUCAAGCUAGAAAUUUUCAAGUUCCCAUUACAGUAAUGUGUAUCCCUUAAAUACAAAUAUAUUGACUAAUCCGAAACACAUCAUCGAAAUUAGGUAAGCUACCAAAAUUAUUCAUGAAGGAUAAGGAAAUUCCCUCCAUUAAUGGUAAGUGGCAUGUCUCCAUCAUUCGUAUCCAAUCCAAAAUAACUUUCCAAUCGAUAUUUUUAAGUGCAUAAGAACAAUUUCCAUAACAUGGUAUGUUUCUCUGAAGUCUCCUUAUUAAUAAAAAUAAAUUAUUAUUGAACCUAAUUAAUUUCCUAGGCAUAAUCAGAUACGUACCUGAAAAACUCUUUCUCAUGAUCGGGGCUGCGUCAAUGAAAGCUUUUUUCCUUUCUGCAAUCUUUUUCUCCAACUCUGUUAGGAAAAAAAAAUAUUAUGGAAAGAGGGAGGGACAAAGAGAGAGAGAAAGAGAGACAGGGAGAGAGAUAUACCACUUUCUCCAUCCCCCUCUGAUUCUGAGCUUUCACGCCCAUUUCGCUUUGAACCAAAAAGUCUAGAUGUGAUCGACUUCACCCCAAAAAUUAUAAAAACAAAAAAAAAAAAAUGAAAUGACAAAAAUAAUUCGUAACAAAAGAAACAUGAUGAUAAACACCACCAUAUAUACCUUCUUUUUCUUUUCGUUCUUGACGGAGCCAUCAGGUGUGGUGGGGGUAGCGGUAGGGGUAGCUGUAGGGGUGGCGGUGGCGGUGGCCCUGGUGCUGACGACGGCAUCGGCGGCUUUGGUCAUAUCGAAGUUGGCAUCUCCACCAUGGGAAGACAUUCAUUCGUUGACAGUCUUUGGAUAAAGAUUAGGUCACACACACUUUCAGUGAACGUAUUUUUUGUUACUAUCUCUGAAAAUGGGAGAGUUUUAUUUUUCUGGGUUUGGUGAAAGCGAAUGAUCUGUAAUUUUCGGUUUUUGGGGUUUUGUUGAUCUUGUUAAUUUGAUGUGAUCAAUGAUUUUCUCUUUCUUCUUCCUUUUUUGUGUGUGAUCUGUUUGGAAAGAUGAGAUUUUGGCGCCAAGGCUUUCGGAGAACUUAAUUAGGACGGUGAAGAGCAGAAACCGUUUCAACAUGCAGGUCACAACCCGAAUCCGAAUCCGAACCCCGAAUCUGAUCUCAGCCUCGUUUCAUUCUGGAUCCACUAAAAUUAUUAUUACUAGGUUAAUAUCCGGUGCAAUACUUGUUUUAUUGUUGAAAGAAGGACAAUAUUGUGCUUGGUAGCGUGCAAUGAGUCAUUCAUAACAAUACAUAUGUAGAGAUUACCAUGUAUCUAUAUUAAAAUUGUUAUUACUAUGCUAAUAUCCGGUGCAAUACUAGAUUUAUUGUUAAAAGAAGGACAACAUUGUGUUUCGAAGUCUUCUCUUCUCACCUAAAGGUUCUGGUAUACACCGUCGUGUAAGUAUAGAGUGCAAUAUUAAUGUGUCAUCUAAUGUUAUUCACAUAGUAAGUAUAGAUAUAUGCCAUAUACUGAAAGAUCCUCCCUUUCUCAAGUGCGUUAUUGAUUGUGACCAUGAGGUUCUGUUUUUAAUUUAGAGUUCCAUUCCGUAAUACUGUUUGCCCAAACCUAUAUGUGUUGACCCUCGGGUAUUAUCCAAGAUCAAAAAAUGGAAACUAACUAUUGAUUGACAAAUGAGCUACUUUUCCCCGUGGACAAGGUUUUUGGUUAUGAAGGAAGUGAUAACAGUGCUGUUAUAUAUAUGCAUAUGACUGUGCAUAAUCAUAAGGCAAGGCCUCUAUAAAGCUAGUUAUGUAUACUAACCAUAGAGAUAAUGGUUACACUUCGAUUUUUCCGAUCCAAUAUUUAAUUCUACUACCCUGAACAGAAAAUUUUAUUAAGAUCAGAAGCUUGAAGAAUCACUGGGUGCAAUCAGCUGGCUUAAAGGACACAGUCCUUUCCUCGAGGUCAUAACCCACCAGGAAAUUCAUUUGAGCCAAGUUUCCGAAGAUCGCCACAUCCUCAGACUGAAUCAUCGUAAAGCAAACCAUAUCAUCCUCCACCCUAGCAAAUGUGUUCAAAGCGUUCAACUUCACAUCAGCACCACUGAAAUGCAUCGUGAUAACGGGGACAUCAAUGUCAUGAUCACUCUUGCUUCUAAAGCAAAGACUCAGAACCCCCUUCGGAUCACUAACACGCUCUACAUUAAUCGCCACUUCCAAAGCCGAAAUGACCUCGUCGUAGAACCCAGGUGGAAGCAAGGUCAGCGUAGUCCCGGAGUCGAUGAUAAUGUUACCCUCACUGGCAGCAACAGCCUUAGUGGAUUGGCUGGUCUUGUAGGAUUGUCUCUUUUCUCCGACGCUAAUUGCCUCAAGUGUAAGGUAAUAGAAUGUGUCAGGUUGUUUCGAUACUAGAGGAGUUGAGACGGCACCCUUGCCUGAGACUAUUGCGGCAGUGCCAAAACUUAUCUUGCUUGCUAUGGAGGAUUUAGCUGACGUGGGAACCAAGCAAUAAGAAAAUUUCCCUCCGUUUAGUUGAGAAAUGAAAGAAAGAGGGCCACCGCCAAGACCGAUCAAGCCGGAGCCGGACUCAUCAAAUGUGCCACCGUUUUCAUGUCCACAACCGAAAAUGAUUUUCAGAAGAGAAACCGGCUGACCAGAAGCCGAGCCAAUGGUGAAGGUCUCCUGAGCUAGACUCCCCCGAGUGAAGGAACGAUCUCCAUAACGAUAACUAUAGACACAAGUGUCACCGCGGUCCGCACCUACCAAUGAAGUCGGAAAUUAGAAAUUAAUCAUAAAGUAAAAACGAAUGAAAUCGGAAACCCUAGGCUCUUAUCGUAUAAAAGGUCGCAAUACAAUUCUAUGCAAAUCUCAAAGAAAACUAUUUUUGAAGUUUGUCAGUGCACAAUGACUGUCUGAGUUUUUAUCAUAACAGCUUAUGAAAACCAUACAAGUAAAUAAAAUCAUAUGGACCGUCCUACGUGCCUCAAGGAAAGCUUUUGAUUAAGGGAGAUAAAAGCAAUAUAUAAGUGUUACUGUACAUACCACAAGAGGCUUUUUUUUCUUUUUUCUUUUUCUUUUUUUGAACAAGUACAUACCACAAGAGGCUUCUUCAAGAUUUGAGCAUGAGUUGGAUUGACAGGGAACUGUUCGAUAGGUGGAGGAGCGCUUCGGAUCAAAGAGAGGAGGGUUUUGGUUGAAGCAUUGCUUGCAUGGUUUGCAUUGCGUCCAGAUAAGAUCGCUGCCAGUGUCGGCUAUUCCGAGAACCUCAACCGGUGGGGUUCCGAUGGAGAUGUUCAUCAAGUAUUCUCCACCACUUGGGACUAUUUUGGAUUGGAUCGUAUUUGUGCUUGGCUUGAUGAAACGCUGUGCACGGGAGAUGGAGCGGCGGAAGGCGUUGUGCAAGCGGUCGAAAUGGGUGGUGGAUGAGUCGUACCAGGGGGAGAGUAGCGAGUCGCGCUGGAUAAGGUCAACAGUGAAACCACCAUAGCUAGCCUCUGCCGAAAAUGAGAGAAGAAUGAAGCAUGCAACAAUAGCUGCUAAUGCCAUUGUUUAGUGAUAGUAUUGUAAUAGAAUGAAUGCUACAAUGUGGGGUGAUGGUGAUUAUGGAAAGCUUAAUAUAUUUUUUUAAUGCAGGAAAGCUUAAUAUAUAGUGCUAGGUAUUUGUACUAACGACGGCAUUAGCUAAGUAAAAGUCAUUAGAAGGUGAAGGGACAACGGGUUAAUUAGCUCGAUGUGUAAGACGAGAGGGCAUCAACUGGUUCAGACGUACGGUACAAUAUAUCUUAAUAAAUGUGUUUUUUGAAACCGUUAUUUUUUAAUAACCAUCAUCGGGAAAAUAUCUGAUCACCCCAUGACAAGAAGCUGAAGAAUUCCUUUAGCUGAGAAUAAGAAAAAGAAAAGAGUAACAAAAGCUCUUAUCAGCAUUCAGCCCUAAGAAUUUUAAUUUAUUAUUUUGGCAAAUUUUCGCCACUCAAUAAUCAUGAAUCAAUGUAAUCAAUUUCUAGGUUUUAUCUUUUUGUUAGGACGAAUCGUUUUACAGCUUACUUGACCCUUGACCUGAGAUUCUGUGUUGCAACUUUUGUUGAACACCAAAUUGCGGAAUAAAAGGAAAUGAAGCGAAAAAAAAAAAACAUUCAUAUCAUUUUCAUUCUGAUAUAGAUACAGGGUACAUAUGCAUAUAUCUUGUAUAUGUCGAUAUCCGCAUGUAAUAAAAUUAGGACAAAUUGUAAUUGAUUCGGUGAAUUAACUAUAUAAGAGUAUAAAUUUUAAGACUCGUCUAGAUAAUCUAGAAUAUGUACCCUAGUUUAGAAAGUACAUAAUAUGUACAGUUAGAGAUAAGAUGAGUUUUGCACAAUAGAACCCAAUGAACAUAAAUUUGUAAAAAGUUCCAUAUAUAUUGGACAUUGGUUUCUCCACCAUCUCAUCUGAGAAAGGUUUAAUUAUCUGUUUCAGGGAAUUUAAUGUGAGUUUUAAAAGUGAACCAAGUUUUAAGCUAGCAAAUCCUCUGGGAAAUAAUUCUUUAUGGAGCUGGCCUGUCUUAUUUAAGCCAGUUGAAACAACUCGCAGUGUGAGUUCAUGAAAGAGAAGAUAGUAACACGCAGUUUGGAACAUAUUUAUAUGGCAUAUGAUUUGGGUUGAUUUGCCUAAACAUAUGCAUGUAGGGAUGAGGGAUCAUCUUUACAUGUAAAGAUUGUUUAAAACCUCAUGGAGUACAUAUUCCGAGUCAUUACAGCACAGUUGUAGUAACUACUAAGCAAAAGUUUAUGGACCACAACAACAAUGCAAGAUCACUAGUUAGACAUGAUUUGUGAGAUACCAAGAGAAGGUAACAAGCCAAAGGAAUUGUGAAGAGGAUGCAAAUGCAUUGCGCAUUGCACAUUGCAUCUCUGGGAUGGUAACAGAAUGAAGUCAGAAGCUUAAUCCUUUCAACGAGAAUUUGGAAUCAAACUGAGAUUCUAGACAAUCAAACUAAGAUUCAAUCCAUGCUUCAGUUUCUCUGCAUAGUUGGAUGCAGCUAUUUUUACUAGCAAAGCAGUCAAAUAAAAUUACAGCUCCAAUUUGAAGAGUAGAAAUCUACCUCAGGUUGUCAACCAUUGCCUACCAAAGUCAUUUGAUAUCUUACUCAGGAUUACCAAAUUCUAUCACCGGGUUAGGAGGUCAGCGCCAUUAAGUACGAUGUAACCUUUUGUUCUACAAAUCUGUAACGUUCAGUGUCUGAUAUUUUUAUAUAUUCAUCGAACUCACUACAUAUGGGGUUCAUACGCUCCGGAAAAGCUCCUGUCCAAGUAAAAAUAGGUUGCAUCUGCAAAAUCAACCAUAUAUGAGGCGAAUAAUGAUAUUCUUUCUAUUAAAAAGAUAAGAGUUACACUUGAACUGAUAAGGUCUGAAUCAUAUAUUGGCUUGACAGAUAUCUGGGUGGAUAACAAAACACAGAUUUCUUAUGAACAUUGAACUACCCAACCAAUCCAUGCUAUGCCAAAAGAACAUUAGAAGUCCAAUUUUAGACAUGGUUUUACCUGCAUACAAGGCAUACACGUGACUAAGAACAAAGAAAGCAGUGAAUUUUGGUGGCAUCCAUUCUUUCAACAAGAUUGUUUUCAGAGUAGAAGAUUGUUCAGGAGCUUACCUGGUUCAAAACUUUUCAUCCAAUUUUUGCUUGCAAAGGGCUAAGUCCUGCAUGCAGAAAGCGAAACAAGCAGAUUAUAAAAUAUAUUCCAAGGAAUCAAGGAUGAGUGCAAUGACACUAGUCAUUAGAGUAAUAGAGGUAAUCAUAUAGAAGCAUAUAGUAGAGAGACACAGUGUUGGUUAACACGUUACAUUACUACUUUUUACCCUAAAGCCACCUGACUAAACAUAUAGAAGCAUAUAGUAGAGAGACACAGUGUUGGUUAACACGUUACAUUACUAUUUUUUACCCUAAAGCCACCUGACUUUAGGGGUUUAAUUGAUGUAGUUAACCAAAAGUACAAGAGAGAACUAGAGACACGUUAUACUCCUACGCCGCAAUAUAACAUCACUAGUCUUAGCAUCUCCAGAAAAAGAAUCUAAAUAUUUAAAAGGCAUAUCAGCGCUUCGCAUUUCUCAACCCCAUAGAGUUGUGAAUUCCCAAAGCCACUUCAUGGUUGUAUUGAGUAAAUAAUUAAGCCAAGCCAGAGUCGCAUGGAGCUCAGCUCAACCAGGCUUAAGAGAACUGGCUUGGCAAAUGCCGUGAACUCUUACUUGCAGCCACAUGUGGAAGGGAUAGUUUAGACAGAAUAUAGCACAAAAGCAGUCUAAAUUUUCUCUGUAAGACUACCAAGCCCUAGUAAGAAGGACAGCUACUCCCCCUAGCAUUUACUUCUUUCAUAUGACCAAGUAUAUUUUCAGUUUAAUUUCAAAACCCCAGUAAGUGAAAGAAGGAAAUUACAUGAUGUUGUAAUGUAAAGGUACACACAAUUGGCUAAAAGUUUGAUCAUUUUAACAACAGUGAUGGAGAGUCAAUACCUCAGUAUAAGCAUAAACACCAGCUUGUGUGGGUCCAACUGGACUUCCCCUCCUCAUAAAUUUCCCCUCCUUAUAGAUAUAAAGAAGUGGUAGCCCAGUUGGUAACUCCAGGCUAACAACCUGUUUUCGUUGAAGUACUAAGAGUUAUUUGUGGAAAGUGGCUAACUGGCUAUUAUAAAGUACUAAUCGGAUAAUAAGGAGUUUUUAAAUAUAGUUGUUACCUCUUGGGAAGUUAAUUUCUCGAGAUACAUGAUUAUAGAUCUUAAUGAAUUCCCAUGGGCAGCAACCAUCACAUGCCUACCAGAUUGUAGUUGUGGUUGAAUCUGCGAUGUAAUAUCUUCUCAUUAAGUGCUUAGACAGUAACACAUCAUCGGCACUCAGCUCCUCAUAGGCAAGUAUGUAAAUAUAAGAUAUUAGAAUAAUAUGGUGUACUUACAUUGUCUUUAAAAUAAGCUACAGCUCUAUGGGAACACAUUUCCAAGCUCUCACCAUUGGGAGGAGGACUACUGUAACUCCUACGCCACUCAUGUACUUGCUCCAUUCCAUAUCUUUCAGCUGUCUCUAACUUAUUGAAACCCUGUAGUUCACCAUACCUGUGAAAGACAACAGCCAGAAAUACAUACUCAAAUACUCAAAUUUGUUCAAUGCAAAAUGAUGUGCAAGGGAAAUCGCAGAUUACAUUCUUUCAUUCAAUUGCCAAGCAGUUAUAACCGGAAUUGAUUGCUUCUCAGUAUCUCCACUAUAGAUUUGACUCCAUGCCCUUGCCUGUCGAUUCUCAUUGUGCAUAAUGAUUGGAACCUGAAACCAAAACUUGGAAUGACACAAAUAAUUACACCCUUCAUUGUACAUUAGAAUUGAGUAGCAGAUCAUGUGUUUCUUAAGAAAUAAAAAAUCCCAUUUAUCAGACUUAGUAGGUAUCUCUGUUAGAAUAGCUGGAUAAUAAAUCACUUAACUCAUAGUCAGCUAGUUUAACAUCUGUCUCAGUGUCUAGGGUAGGAGCUUAAAUUUAAAUUAGAAAGAUCAACCUGAACAUAAGUAUUUCAAGACUUUUGAGCUUCCCAUAACGGUUUAAGUGGCUGCCCAUAAUGGUUUAAGUGGCUAAAGUAUAUGUUUUCUAUUUAAACCUAUUAGGGACAAACUCUAAAAGAAUAAACAACGAGAACGGCAACCAAUCACCACUGCUGCGGAUGUUCAUAGAGUAUUUAUUUAUGAUUGACAGCAUGUACCAACAGAGACCAGUGUCCAGUAGUGAUUGAUAAAAGCGUCAUAAGAACAUUUAGGCACAAAUCUCCAGUGAUCACAACCAAAAGUAUGAGAUGGAUAACUGCAUAUGGUUUGAAUAGUAAUAGUAAAUGUCUGAUAUGGUUAAUAAUUAUAAUGUUUAAACCAUUUAAACUCCUUUAAAUAUACUUUCUGAUCUCUAAAAACUUGUUUGCAAUGUUCUAUACAUAAACCUGACAGGUUAGUGGAAUGGCCAGCGAAACCAUAAAAAAUUGAUGUUGUGUUGAAAUUAUAUUAGCAGGAAGGAUUACGAACAAUUUGCUUCAUGUAGCUGUGAAGUAAUAGAAAGGGGUAGGGGUAGGUCCAAGUUAUAAUAAACUUUGCCAUAAAUAGGAUAUUCAGGUUAUAAUCAUAUCAUGAUGUGUGAUGCAUUCAACAAGUGAAGCAAUUAUCUAUCAGAAACUAUCUAUAUCAACUUAAAAUAUUCUCGAGUCAAAAUGUUGCAAUGAUAAGCAAAGAUACCUUCUUGCAGUGGUGUUGGGUCAUGGUAAGCAUGGCUGUCAUCUGUGCACGAAUCAGUGAAGAUGUAUAGAUCAUAUCUACAGGGAUGUUGCUAAUUCUCUUACCAGCUUCUAUUGCUUCAUCUACACCUCUCUUUGUCAAAGGCACAUCAACACAACCAGUGAACAAGUUCUUCUCACUCCACAUAGAUUCGCCACGACGGAUCAAUAUCAAAGCACUCUCAACUACAAAAGAAGAGUAUGGGAAACACAAUUAAGAGAAAAUGCCUCAAUAUCACAUAAGUAAAGUCAGUAUUAUAAAAAUAUGAACACAUUUUCAUGUCUUAAAAGAAUUGAUGGUACUACCGUGGGAGUUGGAUGAACUUGGAUAAGUAGUUUGAGCCUGGGUAGAUAAUGCACUAACUAUACGCUGUUGACCCUGCCUAAACUACAAUGUCCUUUCCUAAGCAAAGCAACAUCGACCGCGAAAUUCUUGGAGAUAAAUCUGAAAGACGAAUGCCCACAUUUGCUAGCAGAGCCAGCAUCACUAGCAGAACCAUGGAGCUGAAUGAUCCCAACGGGGUGGCGGAAAGCAGUUGCAACCAUUCUGUUAGAUAUCCAACAAACCAAUUAAACCGAAGCUCGAUUUAUUAUUUCUGUUGAUAAGUAACAGAACUCUAUUGAUCUAAAAGCAAAACACAACAAAAAUAGAGAUUCACUGAUAAAAACUCCAGAAUACAUGUGGCAACACAGCAAACACAGAGGAAAGAAACACCGGACAACAACAAAAGUCUAAGCAAACAGCCAAAAAACCUAUUUCUUAAAACCAAAGAAACUGAAGCAUGGCUCUUUCUCCACAAACUGAUACAGUUCCACUGUAGCACAUCUCCCAAAAACUUGAAGCCAAGUUUUCUACUUAACCAAACAUCGAAUCUCAAACUUAACAACAGAACACAACCCAGUUAACUGAACUGAAGAUCGAAGCAAGCAACAGAUUUCAUUUCAUCCCAGUGAUCUGAAAUGCGGUUCCCAAAUACAAAGUUGAUACGAGAAUAAAAGAAUCCAAAGAAAAACAAUAAAGGAUCAUGCUUGAACAUUAUUAUACAAAGAAAGAGAAAAACCCACAUGAAUAAUGAGGGAGCUGAUUUGAUCCCCGAUCGAAUGCCUUGGUGGGAAUCAGAGAUGGGCGCUGUUUACGAAUUAGCGGGGGAACACAGAGGGAGAGGUGGCGGAGUUCCUUUCGUCUUUAAACACGAGUAUAACUCUUCAGCAGCUUGGAGCUUGACGACGUCGUAUUUGUAGAAGUCUGCUCUUUCAAUUUGAGUUCAACCUUCCGGUCAAAGGUUUACUUAUUUAAAAUGUAAUUUAAUGAUUAGUGUGUAAAAAUGAGAUUCCUACCUUUACUAACACAUAAAGGAAUUAGAAUGUCUUAAUAGUAUUCAGAUGAACCCAUGUCUUAGAGUCGAUUCAUGAUUAUUGUGGAAUUUUAUUACAAAAAGGAAAUGGGGAGAUGAGUUUAAGAAUAAAUAAUUAUGAAUCGAUAUCGAUUCAUUUCUACCAUUUCUCUUGUCUCUGAUUCAUUAUUUUUUUUAUCGAAUACAACUAGUAUUUCGUGAGUCAGACUCACAACCUCUCACUUGUUAAGGAGAGACUAUGCCGUUAGACCAAAUUAUACUGGACGAUUAUUUUUUUAUUCAAAGUAAAUAAUUACCAUAUUUAUUUUAGUUCUUUAUUUUAAUUUAUGGACAUUCGAAAUUUUACAAACUUCUUAGUUUGAUAAUGAGGAGGUAUAUGUUUAGAGAUCAUUUUCAUGCUGAUGCAUUCCUUCCUUCAUUCAUUCUCUAUAUGUGUUCGAUCUUUAUUUUUUUUUUAUACAAAAAAGACUAAACAACAAUGAGGACCCUCUCAAGCAGCAAGCAUAAAAAAGAUCGAAAAUUAACGGCAGCAACAAACACUAUGUGGCAAAUUGACAUUCCAAGCCAGAAGAUCGGAAGAACUGUGUCCCAACUACAAUGUUUAUGCUAACUAGCCAAAAAAAUUCAUGCAUACAUGCAAUUUUCAGUUGGAAGAACAAGAAUAUAUAAAAGCAAAGGCACAAACCCAGUGCACAUAUGCUCAUUAUUUAUGCACAUAAUGUGAGCUAAAAUGGUUGUCCAUAUACAUAAUUUACAUAUAAUGAUCUCCCUAACUAACAAGGUUUAGUGCAGAAGCAUUUUGGCAGCCAGAAGUCGCGACAAAAGCCGCCGUCGUGGCCUUCUUUUUGGCAAGUAAGUGCGCAGUUGCUUCCCAUAAUGCAAGGCCCCUCAAACUUGGCGCUCGGAGACUCGCAUGUCUUCGGAUCCGGCCUUCCUCCGGCAACCAUUUCUGGCCCCAUCUCUGCCAAAAUUAGCAAGCAUAUGGUAAGCUGAUACCUUAUAUCUUCUUACAUUAUAAUGAUCGAUUGAUCUAAGUAAUUAACAAGAACAAACAGAUAGAUACCUGUAGCCAUGAGAACCAGGACAAGAAGGAAGGCAGAUAGACAUAGUGAACGAUCCAUGUUCAUCUUUUUUGUGUAGAAUGUAGAGAUCGAUGAUCGAACAAAAAAGAUGCAAGCCGAUUGCUAUUGCAGGGGUUUAUAUAUAUAGAGUUGGGAAUGGAGCAUUUUGAGAGGGAGUGGAUCGGCUCCUUUAUCCUGAUAGCCACAGCCAAAAUAGGAACUCAUCGGGAAAGUUUAGCUGAGGCUCUCU
rnacentral:lncRNA from 1 species